rnacentral:lncRNA from 1 species
UCUUCCUUCUUUUACUCGUGUUUCUAAUAACGCACCAAACUGAAACCCUUGAUCCUGUACCCACUUCUUCACUACUGAAUGUUUGAUUGAUUUGUUGAAACCUCUAACAUUCCAGAAGAAACUCGACAUAUUAUUUCUUCUUUUGGGAACGUUUUUUGCCUACUGCACUAGGAAGUCCUUCCUUUGUGCUUAAGGCAGCCAUUUUCUUUGAUGACCGGAUUUGGGUUUUUGAUAGCCGAGGAACAGAUGGUCGAAGUGGACACUCAACUCUUUCAGACUUCCCCGCUUUCCCUAUAUUCUGAUUGAGAAGUUCAUCAGUUCCAGUUUCAUCCCCUGAAACCUCUCCUGAGAUCUCUUCCGUUCCGAUACUUCUUCUAAAGUAUUUGUCAAGGCUUCUAACAUUUCACCAUCGUCCUUUUCGUUACCCUCUUUAUCCUUCUUUUCCUCUGUUAUUUCACCCUCUUCCUUUUCGUUUUCCUCUUUUUCCUUCUUUUCCCCUGUUUCAUCUUGUCCCUCCCGCACAUCAUUUUUUCCCUCCUCUUGCAGCACUGCAAAGCGAGAUGGUGAGAUCACAUUUGUGUGUUGUACUCCCAGCUUAACUCCUAGCCGACCAUGUUUGGAUGGAGAUACAUCCUUCCAGACCCCUUCAGUAUUUUCCUCCACUACACGUGUUUGCACGGGUGCACUUGUUUCUGCAGCCGGUGAUUCGCUUAUGACCUCUGCUUCCAUAUCACGAUCUGUUUUGCCUUUUGUCACAUUCCUUGUUGUAAACUCUUCAGUCUCUUCUUUCUCCGUAUUCUCCUUGGUACUUGCCUGAGAGUUUUCCAUGUUAGCACUCUGAACCGGCACAACACUUUCCUUCGCAGAGGUAUUUUGCCUCGUCAAUAUUUUGACCUUCGAUUUGCAAGCUCUAUGUGUAUGUCCCCAUUUGGAACAGAUAGUACAUUUAUCAGGGAGCCAGGGGUAGAUAAACUCCACCUCUGCAUCAACUCCUAGCUUUGAUUUGAACCGAUGUGAUUUAGGCAACUCCUUCGUCAUAUCAGCUUCCACAAACACUUUUGCUUCUUCAAAGCUUGUGCAUAGUAUAGUAUCCGGGUGCAGUCUCUUCGGCUUGCCAACCGCACUAGCUAUGAAGCCUAGUCCCUUCCAUGAGAACAUCCUGUGAGGAACAUUUUUCAUUGUAAUCCACAUUGGUAUUACUUUGAUCUCUUCUUCCUCAUCUACUUCUACUACCGGAGACCACUUUGAUAAGACCAUUGGGAUGUUAGCAAUGUUCCACAUACCUCUGCGUAGAACUCUCUUCCUCGUAGCCAAAUCUUUAAUCCGGAACUUGACUGUAACUUCAUUAACUGGAAACACAUCGAUCUUGAUAGAUUGAUUUCCCAGUGGCCAAAUCUUAUUCACGAUAACGUGAAUCUUAGCAACGUGUGGGGCAGGAGCUAGGAACCGCCCUUCCAGUAGAUCAUCCCAGAGAGGGAUCGUAUCUUGUAUUACUGCAUCUGGGACUUUUACAACUUCCUUUCCCUCCACCAUCUCCAUGUCGAAAGCGUGCUCAGAGAGAGAUGGACCAUUUGUCACCGCUUUAACAUAAGACGAAUGUUUUCCCUGAACGUUGGACGGAUCUAACACAGGCAUAACCGACGAUUCCGACUCCUCCGAAGCCAUGACGGCCGUUUGUAACCCUGCGGCGCUGAAGACUCUCACCAAAACCGUAAUCGCCAAGAGAAUCGCCCUUUUGCUGACGUGGAAUCGCACUCUCGGCCUCUAUUAACGAUCACUUUUUAUUGGUUUGUCCUUUUUUCCUGGACAUGUGUGAAUGAAAUGCUGGCCACAUAUUCAAGUGUGGUGGAUAAUAUCACAGCAUCUUGGCUUCGGUGCAGACAAUGGCUCUGGUGCACGGGGCAGGGGUCAUAGAGGUCGCCUGUAACUUGCUGAAUCCAAGCCAUGUCGGAGGAGAUGAUGUUCAAGGACUGAUCGAGAGGCUUGGCAGAGAGGAAGGUCUGCUUGUGGGAAAAGGGUAUUAUACUGACUAUACAGCCGACCAGAUCACUCAACGAUACAAGGACUUGCUCAUCAAAAAUUCAUAUCAUACAUAAGUUGUUUGUGUUCAAAAUAAGAAGUUUUAAAGUUGUUUUUGUUUUUUUGUGUUAAAAGAUUAAUGUCACUGGGUUUCUAAUACAUGGCCUUUUUAAGUAGCUUGACAAACUUGACCAUAAAGUCAAAAAACAAUAUGAUGUUGUCAUUCCCACGUCCAUCAUAUACGUAUCUCUUUUUUUUUGUGCGGUUAAGUGUGUUUUAUGUAUUGUUAUUAUCAUGACUCUAAACUGAAAUGAGCGGAGAUUAAAUUAAUUGAAAGGAUAGAAUAUGAGAUUAGUUCAUAUGGUAAGAUGCAAAAAUAUCAAUAAAUCCCAUCAUUGGUGUUUUGUCUCAAAAUGAUGAUUGUAAGAGGGAUGCCCUGCCCUUUGCCUUAUAGUUCUUAAAGCUGAUCUCUUGCGAUUUAUACCUUUUGUGUGUUUCCACACUUGCUCAAGUGUAUAGCAAAUUGGCAAUGCAUGCAAGUCAUCGAACAACUGGGUUAAUAGAUAUCUAAAGUUACAUGUGGCCUUGGGACGAUGUAGUAGUAGUAGUAGUUGAGAUCUCUGUCAUUCAAAUCCGUACUAUAAGUUGUGGUGUAUAUCAUCUUUUUUUUUGAGCAAACCAAAUGAGAUUACUUAAACAUAAAACGGUUCUACAAGGCUCCAUCCGAGUCAAUGGGAAAGAGGGCUGCUUUAGCAAGCAAGUCAGCCUCCACAUUUUUUAAACGCGGGACAAAUAUAAAUGAGAUAGAGGAAAAAGAGCGAGCCAACACAUUGAUGUCAUGGAGAACGCCUUUCAACACCACAUCCUGUCCUUGAUUCUUCAAGAGCGAAACGAGGUUUUUAGAGUCGGAGUAGACACGAAUGCUACUGACAUGUGAAGAGAUUGCAGCGGUGAUUGCCGCUUUGACCGCCAAAGCUUCGGCCACAAGAGCCGAAGGAACAUAACGCCAGUACGAGGAGGAUCUUUCUGUAACAGCAUUGUCGGCAUCACGAAGGAGCCAGCCAAUCCCGCAGUUCCAUGUCGAUGGGUUCCAAGCUGCAUCUGAAUAAGAUGACCAAGUGUAAGAGUUAGCAACUGGUAACUGAGAAAGAUGGACCACACACUGUGGUAUAGAAGGCAUUUUAUCACACGAUUGAGCAGCCUUCCACGCUCGAGCAUCUUGGAGGGCUUUAAGCACAGUGUCUUGUUCAGAAAAGACCCUAUUUUCAAACAUCAGCUUGUUCCUAUUUGUCCAAAGAAUCCAAAGAAUCCAUGGAUAUAGUGGGGUUGUUCCUAGACCCGAUGGGGGGAGAGAGAGCAUUCUCCUACAUUGCUGCAAGAGAGAAGAUAUCGAGUUUGUAUUAUCCACUGACGGUUUGAACAUACACGGGACUAGGUCCCAGACUUUAGCCGCAAACGGGCAUUUUAGCAGGACGUGAAGCUCCGUCUCCACUGCUCCACAUCUCUUGCAGGCGACCUCCGACGAUAAACCUCGAGCUUGUAAAACAGAGCCAACAGGGAGUGCUCUGUUAUUAGCCUUCCACAUGAAAUGUUUGAUUUUUGGGGAAGUAUCCACCUGCCAAAUGCACUUCUUCCACUUGAAAGUCCUGUCUUCCUGUGUUCCGUUGCAGAGUUUAGCCACCGCAUAACCUGAUUUUGUAGUAUAUUCUCCCGACGCAUUGGGGAGCCAAACCAAUUCAUCGGGCGCUUGCAGUGCACUUGGGAUCAGUCUGCGGAUGAAGUUCUCAUAAUGUGGUAAGGUUUCCCUGAUAGCCUCAACGUCCCACUCGUUGGUUCCUGGUGUUAUGAGACUACUGACGCACCAGGCUUGGUUGGUAACAGUAGGGGGGCCAACUGGAGCCAUCGGUUCACUGGUAGAUAACCAAGGUUCCGCCCAUAUGUUAACGUCCUUGCCUGAUCCAAUAGCCCAUCCUAUGCCUUUCCUCAGCAGGUCCCGCCCUACAAGAAUCCCUCUCCAGCCAUGGGAGGCGCUCGAGGGAACUUGGGCCUCAAGGAAAGACUCAUGAACACAAUACUUCCCUGUGAGAGUCUUUGCCAGUAGAGAGGUUGGGUUCUUCAUGAUCCUCCACGAGAGUUUUGCUAACAUUGCAUCAUUGAAUUGUUCGAUCUCUCUAAACCCCAGUCCUCCUGCGCUUUUAGGUUUUGUGAGCUUUUGCCACGAUACCCAACACAUCUUCCUAACCUCCGGGGAGAUAUCCCACCAGAACCUCGUUAACACUGAUUGGAUCUGCUUGCACAGCGACAAAGGCAAUUUGAAGCAAGACAUGGAGUAAAUGGGCAUCGCUGCUAGCACAGAUUUGAGAAGAAUCAGUUUUCCAGCUCCCGUGAGAAACCUAGUUGUCCAGCUAUGUGAGCGUUGGCGAAUACGAUCGACCAGUGACGCAAAGACGUCUCGUUUCUUCCGGCCGAAGUGUUCCGGUAAACCGAGAUAUUUUCCAAGUCCUCCUUCAUUUAGGAUCUGUAGCUGAUCUCUGAUCCUCCUCUUAGCUUCCCCUGGCGUCUUGGCUGAGAAUGUUAUUGCUGAUUUCUCCAAAUUAAUGAACUGACCGGAGGCUUCUUCAUACUUCUUUAAGAUAGCGAUUAAGGCAGCACAACUUCUGUGAUCCGUCCUGGUGAAGAACAUGGUAUCGUCGGCGAAAAGUAGGUGGUUGAUUGCUGGAUUACUGCGCGCUACUUUCACCCCGACCACCUCCCCUUUCUGCUGCGCUUUCCUACACAGGCCCGAAAGCACUUCUGUGCACAGGAUGAAAAGAUAUGGGGAGAGGGGGUCUCCUUGCCGGAUUCCUCUAGUAGGCAUCACUUUCCCUUGUGCAGCACCAUUUACUAGAUAAGAGUACGAGACGGAGGUGACGGACGUCAUUAUCCAGGAUAUCCAUAGUUCAUGAAAACCAAACCGAGACAAGACGUUACGUAAGAACCCCCAUUCUAUACGGUCAUAAGCCUUGCUCAUGUCGGUCUUUAUAGCCAUGCUGCAUCGGACCUUAGCCUCAGAGUGUUGAAGGUAGUGCAAAAUCUCAUGCGUAAUCAGAACAUUAUCUGAAAUCGCUCGCCCUUUAACAAAGGCCGACUGGUGAUCGGAGAUAAGGGCUGGGAGGAACGGCUGCAGGCGCCGGGUAAGGAGCUUCGCUAUAAUCUUGUAAUGUGUGUUACACAGAGCAAUCGGGCGAUAAUCUGCUACCUUCCUUGGUCCUGUGACUUUCGGAAUCAGACGUACAUGUGUUUCGUUUUGUCUUGGAUCCAAGGUGUUUGAGAUGAAGAAGGCUUGGAUAUCCUUAGCUACAUCCUCCCCUAGAAUAUCCCAAAAAUUCUGAUAGAAGCUAGCCGAGAAGCCAUCGGGGCCCGGUGCUUUGUCCGGAUUAAUAGAGAAAAGUGCCUCCCUUAUCUCGAAAGGGCUCAGGAUAGCUAUCAAUGUCGUGUUCAUCUCUGCAGUAACUAAGGGAGUGAUCCCUUCAUGAACCACCUGAUAUGAAUCUGACAUUUGAGCUGAGAAUAUCCGAGAGUAAUAGUCUGUGAUGCACUGCACAAUCUCCUGCUCCUUGAACCUCGCUUUACCUUCAACAUCCUCUAGGACCGAGAACCUAUUGACAGCUCGUCUGCCAUGAGUCGCCGCAUGAAAGUAAGAUGUGUUCCGGUCGCCGCAUUGUAGCCAGAGAAUCCUGCUCCUCUGUCUCCAAAAAAGCUCUUCCUCCUUGUAUGCUGAUUCGAGCGUUGUAGUGAGUUCUCCAAUAAGCAUGGCGUCCGGUACCGGGUUAGAGAGAGCUUCUUCCAGUCUUUGCUGAGCCGAUUGUAUCGCUCUGUUGCUGUUAAGGUUUUGCUCCCGCGUCCACUUAAUGAUGCUGUGUCUGAUGUUUCCAAUUCUCGUCAAGACAGAGUCAAGCGGUUCCUUCUUCCAUUGGGCCUCCACCAGUUGUCUCACCUUUGGUUUGUCCUUCAGUCGUCGAUCAAAGUGAAACAAGCCCUUCUUCCUUCGAGUCGAGACGUCGAAGUGGACUACUAUUGGACGGUGGUCAGAGCCUUCAAAGCGUAAAUACUCACAGCGACCUGCCGGGAACCGUUCAAACCAGGAGCAGUUUGCCAUGGCCCGAUCAAGUCGUGACUGAAUGAAGUAAUUGUAUCUUGUACCCCGCCAAGAUAAAUGAUUACCAGAAUGUUGAAAAUCCCUUAAACCCAUUUGGGAUACAAAGCUUCUAAAGGAUAGGAAGGAUCCUUCCCAACGGAUUGGACCGCCCACCUUCUCCGAGUUAUCGAGGAGAUCAUUAAAAUCUCCGGUGAGGAGCCAAGCUUCUUCUCUCUCAGCUCCUAGCUCUGUCAACUUACUCCAGAAGGCAGGGCGGUCUGACGGGUUUGGAGCCCCAUAAAUGAAGGAAACGAAGCUAGAGGUUCUGUGUGCCUCAAUCUUUGUAUCAAUAAUAUUUGGGGAGGAGAAGAAAAUUUCAACCUGAAGAUCAUCUAUCCAAGAUAAGGAUAUGCCUCCCGCUAAGCCAACAGGGGGGACAGUAAAGUGGUUGGUAAGCGCUGAAUUCUUGAAGUGCUUGAAGAGAGCCUCGUCUUGAUUCUUAGUUUCCAUAAGAAAAAUGACUGCUGGGGAAAUUUUCUUUCGAAAUUCCCUUAUUCGCUGGCCUGUCAAGGGGCUCCCGAUGCCUUGACAGUUCCAGCUCACACACGCUAAGGAAGAGACCCCUGAGGAGGACAAAAAUCCUUCUCCUUGCGUACUCGCGGUGGAAUGAUCGUCGUCAUCGUCGCUGGUGUGGUCUUUUGCUUCUUCUUUGUUUGAGUUCUUACUCCCGCCGUUAUAGCAUCCAUCAUCAGUUUCCUGCGGGGAGAGGGAUGAGCCUUUGUAGUGCGUCUUCUUUUCACCGGAAAACCUUGUGGAGAGUUGCGUGCUGGCCUCUUCUUGUCUUUGGUUUGUGUAGCAACUUUCUUUCCUGCUGCCUUCGAAGACAAAGUCUGUUGGAGUUGUAAAUCAAAAGUGUUAUCCUCCUCAUUCUCCUCAUCCUCUCUAAGAGGACCUAGCCUUAAGGAGACAUGAAUGCGAUCUUCACUUAGUGUUCUGAUAGGGGAUCGUUCACAAAUGCCAAGCCUGCCUGUCUCAAAGAUCGUUGAACUCGACGGGCGAGUAAUGGCUGUAAUGGUCCUUGUACUCGAUGAGGGGCUUAUAGGUAGUUUAUUCUUAUCCUGAUGGGGGACAGCCUCCCCCUCUGUCCUCUCACUGCCACUUGUUCUUCGAGUGUUCACAGAUAGUCUUUCCUUCGUAGAGAUCCUCUCCUCAGUUGAUAGGUUUCCUGAUCGUGGGUCUGAGAGACGUGAAUCUAGGUUCCUUCUCCUCUGUUCCAGAGUUGGGGCAGCCACUGGUGAGCGGUGUGAUGAAGAGAUGGCCUCUCUAGCAGGUGAGACCUGUGAUUGUCGGGGUGGUGCAGGCCCUGUAGAUUCCUUGACCUUGUAGUCUUGAGUCCUACGUGAAGUGGAGAUUCGCUCAUGUGAAUCAUGUUGCGACUGAGUCUCUCUAGAGGUAGAGUAUCUGUAUGCAAGAUGACGAUCAUCAUAACGUCUCCUGUUUUCCUCAAAGUUGAGGCUCUUCCCCAUCUCACUACGAGGGGAAUACUCCCUUGAGGAAAUUUCGAUUUCACGGUUUGCGUUCCUUGAGUUUGUCCAUCGAGCUUCUUUUCGAGCGGGUAGGUUUGGGAAGCGCGAGUAUCGCCUUUCUUCCUGACGCCUUCUUCCUUCUUCAAUUCUCUCUAGAGUAUUCUGUUGCGUAAUGCCCAAGGUUCUUUUGUCUUCUGUGUGUCCUCUAGAAAGGGGGCAUCUGUGUUUCUCACUGUCUUCAUCUGUUAAGGACUUACAGAAGAAACAGUGUUUUCCCAGCUUCUCAUACUCCACUUCCACCUCAACAACUUCACGGGAAGGGAGCUGAAGGUCUAGCUUCAUAAUAAGUGGUUUCAGCGCAUUGAUCUGUACUUUGAACCGAGCUUUAUCCACUUCUCGAUCUUCAAUGGGGCCAAGAAUAGCUCCAAUAGCUUCAAUGGUUUCAUCUUUCCAAUAAUGGAGAGGAAUACCAUGAACUCUGACCCAAAAGGAAAUCAGAGCAGGGAAGGACUCAGAUACAAUCGGUUCCCAUCUUCUCAGUAUGAACAUCCAGUUUUUGAAGUGAAAUGGGGCUUUAGCGAGGAUUUUCUGAAGGUCUUGCUCCGAUUCAAAACAAAACUGGACCAGAGAAGGUCCCAAAUCCCUCCUUGUUAUUCUGCCCACCACAUGCCACUGUUAUAGGAAGAAAUCUACCAGGGCUCUUGUCUUCUGGAUAGAAGGAUUAGUAACCCUACCAAUAAGCGUGAGUUUGUUUCGCUCUAUGAGAUCUGAGACGUUGGUUUCCGGAAUUCUAACUAGAGGUUUCCGAAGAGGAGGGCUUUCCUCUUUCCUUUUUCCUUUCUCAUCCCGUGAGUAUCGACGAGACAUUUUCCUCAACCUGAGUAGCAAACUAGCAAGUUCUUGGAGCAGAGACUACAACCAGUAGUAGAAUGGGUGUGGAGGUGAACCAGCCGUUGAAAGGGACUACAAUCUGUAGUAAGCUGAAGCAAGAACAAGGAGAGGGUUUUUAGAGCUCUCCUGUAACCCUCCAGUACAAGCUUCAGUGAGAAAGGUUUUGUAGCUUCGCAAAGGACUCCAUUGAACUCAGCUUCACUAACCGCGGACUCCACCGGUAAGAAUGGCCGGAGAAGGUGGUCCCUCCGACAAGGUCAGGGGAAGAACUCGGUGUGUAAAGACCAAGGGAGUUUAUUAACCGUCAGAUAAUACCAGAAAAGGUAACCAUUUUGAAUCUUGCAGGACAAAAGUGGGUGGAUCCAAGCCGAAAGGGAAGGUCAACUUCCGGGGUUAACUUUGUGCCCAGCGGUUAAACACAACUAUUGGUAGUUGUGCCUGAGAGAGUUUUUUGUUUUUUUAUGUUAGGAUAUUCUUUGCGGUGUAUAUCAUCAUUUUAUGAUUUUUGAUAAGGAAAAUACAUUUUUAUAUAGGGAAGUUUACUAAAGUGACACAAAUUUAUUGGGUUAUUACUAGAAUAACUCAUAUUUUUAAAAAAUUAUUAGAAUAUUUUUCUGGUCGAAAUUACCCUUCUCCAUAGUUAUAUCAAAAAAACAGAAUUACAAAAGUGCCAUUAAUAAUUGAUCGCUGGCAGAUUUAUUUUCAAAAAAAUAAAUCUGCCGGAUAUUAAGUCUGCUAAUUAAAUCAGUUUAGAAAAUAAAAUCUGUCAAGAGAGUGAUGUCAGAUUUUCUUUAAAAUGGCAGAUUUGUUUAUACGACAGAGUUGUUUGUUCGAUUUAAGUUGAAAACAGAUUUUUAAGGAUAAGUCUACCAAACGAGGUAGCAGAUUUUUUAUAAAUGAUAGAUUCUUUUGUUAGACUUAAUUUUUAUGACAGAUUUGCGUAUCCGAUUUAAAUGGGAUAAUAGAUUUAUUAUAAAUUGUAGAGUUUUGUGUUAGACUUAAAUUUCUAUGUCAGAUUUUUUUAUUUAUGAAUGGGCAGAUUUUUAUAAGGAAAUCCGGGUUUGAAUAAACCAAACUUAAUUUAAUUUUGAAUUAAAUUUGGUUUUCUUUAGUGUCAAAUCCGGUUUAUUUCUAGUGUAACUAAAAUCAGAAUUAUGUUUAAAUUUUUGAAAUUGACGUUAACUUCUUACAUGCACAAGUCAAUAGAAAAAAAUAUUGCAUGCACCAUUUAUAUAAAAUCAUCUUGUUACGUUACACAGAGAAUGAUUUACAUGUAUAACUUUUAUAAAAAAAAUACAUCUUGUUACGAAGGAAUGAUUUUGCUUGUUGAGGUACGGAGGAAAUGAUUUGUUUGGGUCGGUCAAACAAUACUAAUGGUCAAAAGGCCAAACCGUGUUAACGUUGAAACCUAAUUGUACCUAUAACGUUUUGUUCUCAUUCUUCAACUUGUUUACAGGUUAAAGCUGCAAAUAAUAGCAUUGUUCAUGAACAACUCAAUCAAACGGUUGAGAAAUUUGUUCUUUAUCAAUUUGUCUCAUGUUUACAAUUUGUCGAGAAUUUAAUAACCGACGAAGUAUUUAAUAACCGACGAAGUAUUUAAUAACCGACUUCCACUUUCCACCCAAUACCUUAACGGUAUUUCCACUUCUAAAUAAACACUAUACAGACACUAAAGAGUACAAACAUGUAGAUGUCUAUUUACAGAGAACAAGAAGCAAAGUUAAAGAGUAUUGGGUUGAACUCAGAGAGGCCUAAGAUUGUUCUUAGGAGAACUUAUCCCUGGAGUGUCUGCAAUGGAAAAUCUCCAUAAGGCAUUGACAUGUUGAGGUAAUGCGUGAUCCAUCCCGACUCAAGUACCAACCAAUACUUUCUCCACACCAUCCAGAACCUCUAAUCCUCCUGUUUUCACACGUAUUAUUGCACAACAGAUAUUCUUGAGAAAGAGCAAACUCAGAAACACAAGCAACUGAUUUGGUGUAUUUGUUCGUCUAACCAGGAGAAUACAGAGGAUGAUGAGACCACUCUGUUGAAAAUCCAAGCACUUGCCCGACCAGAAAGAGGCACAUAUGAAUGCAGAGUAAGUGAAUAUCCGCAUAGUGUACAGAGCUUGAUGCAAGGUAUAAUUGUAUAAAUUGAUAAAGAUAAGACUAGCCUCUCCUGGUCAAUUUAGAAGAACGGGUUUGUAGGUAAACUGGCCACAACGCUCAUGAAUGGUCUCCAUCCCUGCAAAACUGUCACACCCUAUGAAGCCAACCAAAGAUCUAUAUAAUCAUUUUCUAAUGCAAACAUCGAACAAGCAAAGCAGACACGAAACAAGUAGUAACUUCAAGUUCAAGAUCUAGGAGACACAUAUUGAACUAUACCACACUUGUUACCGACCAAUUCAAAUAUGUAGUUUUACUCAUUCAAAGCACGAUACUUUCAUUAACACAACACAAUCCCUAAAAAUCGAUUGAGGGUUAAAGUUCUGAAAAUCGAUUGAGGGUUAAAGAAAGACACGGGAUUUUACCUUGAAAUCACUCUUGGUUGAAAACGAGCAAUUGUUUUGUCUCUUCGAUUUAAAGGCGGAGACAGAGGUGAAAUCGGAUUCAGGGUUCCUCUUGUCUUACAGAGACGACGGCGAUUCAGGUGGAGGUGACGAAAUGGAAGGAGGCUCUGGCAGAGAAGAAGUUGUCGGAGGCGGAAGUGAAAGAGAGGUGUCCGAUUUGGUGUUGUCGCAAACGAAGAAGACGACUUUCUCCAGUCUCGAUCAAAAGGUUUUGUUUUUCUUUAUAAAAAAAAUAAACAUUUUCCUACUAAUAAUUUCCUAUGGCAAUCUCGUGAAAAAUGAAAGAGAGACUGAUUUUUUGGCAUUUUCGGUUGCUCUGUGCUUUAGUCUAAUAAUUACAAAAGUUUAUGAGUUAGUCUAGUAAUUACGUGUAUGAUUUGAGUCAUUCUAGGUAAUUUCUCUUUUAUAUAUAACCUCUUUAAAUAUGUAGGUUGAGUCGUAGAUAAAAAUGGAGGGUCAAAGGUCUAUAGAAGAAAAAACGUGGAUGAGGUGGAGUUUGGUGCGGCUCGUAACCAACUAACAUGAAUUCUUUAGUUGCCUUUGCAAUAAUAACUCACGUUACACAAGAUGGAGCCUGUAAGGCCAACUCAUGAUGUAGCAUAACAUGCCUAUACAUACAUAAUAACAUUUGACAAAGACAAAUUAAAGUUGGGCCAGCUGUAAAAUUCAACAGUUACAACAACUUUCAUUGACAUUGGAAAUCAUCAAACGUGGAUGUCAAUGUUAAGCCAGGCUAAACUUAGUAGGUUCCAAAUACGGAAGAGGUCUAAAAGCAUUGCACGAGAUACUUAGUCCAGAAACUCUGUUUCUUAAUUUUGGAAACAUUACCAAAUUCCUAAUUCAAAAUAAAUGAGAUUCCCUAAUAAGUCUCUAUGUAUAUAUGCCAACUUGGUCCUCGUAUUCAGAGCAUUUAAAUACACAUAUGUAUAUCAUAUAAAGAUGGGAACGAUGGAGAAUAGGAACCAUAUAUAUACCUAACUGAAAGAAAGAAAAAAAAGGAAGAAAGCAUGCAUUUUACAUAAGAGAGCUCAGAAGUCAGAAAGAAAUGAGGUAGUUACUUACCCUUUUGCGUGCAAAGAGGUAAUUACUUGCUAUUUAUAUUUAUCUGGGUGAAACUGCAAUUAAAAAAGCGUGUAAUUUAUAAUAUAAUCUGUGAGUUUAGAAAAGAGCAUCCUCUGUUCUGCAGUCAGACAAAUUACCUGACAAUCAAUAAGAUUACAGAGUACAACACAUUAUGUACGUUACUUAUGUGUAUAUAUGUUACUUAAAUCCAAAAUUUGAAAGAAGAUAAAAUAUACAUAGUAAUUAAUUAAUGAAAAAAAGGAUCCACAAUUUUUAUGCCCCACGGCUCUCUUGUUUUACUUUGGCCACCUAAUUCGCAUCCGCCAACACUAUCCCAUCAUCUGCGUCUGUCUGUAUUAGAGAGUUUCUUUCUUUCAAAGCCCUCUAAAACCUAAUUCAAAGGACCUUCAAAGUCUCUCUCUCUCUCCCUCUUUUUUUGUUUUACUCCAAAAGGCAAAAGCUGUAUUGCAUGUAACCUUUUGGAGAUAUUUGGAUAUGAAAUUUCAGAUCUAUGCGAAAGUUCCUUUAGGCCUUUUUUUUUCAAAUCUCUUCUGUUCAUAUGUCGAAUUACCUUUUUGUCCCUAGAGAGUUAUGGCUCCUAUAUAAAUAUGUACUAUCAUCAUUCUCUUAAAACUCUCACAAUACGAUACUUUUAGUAGGAGAUCGUAGAUCGGGGAUGGAGAGAGAAUGCGGGUCGAAGAAGACCUUGUUCAGCGAAGAGGAGCUGCAAGAGAUUAGUGGGGUCAUUGUGGGAGAUGAUUACGUGGAGGUGAUGUGUGGCUGCACGAGCCACCGUUACGGAGACGCCAUUGCUAGGCUUAGGGUUUUCUCAGAUGGAGACCUCCAAAUCACUUGCCAAUGCACUCCCGCUUGCCAUGAAGGUCUCUUCUUCUUUUGAUGUUUUUAGCUUAAUGCACGUUACAUGUGAACAUUGCUUUCUUGAUGAUGCAUAUGUUUCAUAUAUGCGCCAGGAAUAAUCUGCCCUAAUAUUUUCUUUUAUACCGUAUCUCCCCGCUUCAGUUCAACUUUUUUUUUGCGAAAAGUGAUCAUCUUGACAGAUUUGAUUUUAUGAUCAUCGUAGACAAGUUAUCGCCUGCUGCCUUUGAGAAGCAUUCUGAGAGAGAAACCUCUAGAAACUGGAGGAACAACGUGUGGGUGUUCAUUGAGGGAGACAAAGUUCCGCUUUCAAAGACAGUGCUGCUCAGAUACUACAACCAAACAUUGAAGAAUAACUCCAACGGAUCCAAAGUGACUCAUCGGGAUGAGUUUGUUGGAUGCAGCAAAUGUGGGAAGGAGAGGAGGUUCAGGUUGAGGAGCAGAGGGGAAUGCCGGAAGCACCAUGAUGCCUUGGCUGAGCCCAAUUGGAAGUGCUGCGAUUACCCAUACCACAAGUGGGACUUUGUUGUUUAUAAGUACUUCAUAUGAAGUAUCAUAGAAAAUGAUUUAACUGAAAUGGUGGUUGUGCAGGAUUACUUGUGACGAGGAGGAAGAGAGAGUGAGCAGGAAAGUUUACAAAGGUUGCACUCGUUCCCCGUCUUGCAAAGGCUGCACUUGCUGUGUUUGCUUCGGCUGCAACCUCUGUCGUUUCGCAGAUUGUAACUGCCAGACUUGCCUGGACUUCAUCACCAACACCAAACCCAUUUGACUUCAUUUCUCUAACUUUUACUUAAAAAUUAUUCAGCAAAGACCUUUUUGUAAUUCUUGAAUGAUGGCUGCUGGAUGCGCCUUUUAAUUAUAUAGCUUUGUUUUUGUGGUAACUGGAGAAACCGAGUAGGAUUCCAAAAACAAACAGAAAGAGUUGUGCUUUGAAAUGAAAGCAAAAAGUACAUGCCUCUUAAAACCAAUUUCAGAGAUGGAAAACACACAAAACUAACAAGAGACAAGCAGUGAACGUUAAAGAGUAUGCAAAGUCCUCUCAAAAUCUCUAUCUAAUUACGAACUAGCAGAGCCAAGACCGAGAGAAAGGUCAGUCAAGCAUGGUGGAAAGAGAUGUAGUAACUAAUGCUGAACAAGGAACUGAUUUGUAAUCUCUACUUGGAGGGACUGAUUUGAACAAAAGAAACUGGCAUCGAGACCAUACAAUUAGAAUGAUCCAAAGCAUAUCACAAUGCUAAAAUCUUGAUAUGUUUCAAUUAUGAAACGCAAAACAGCUACGAAUCAUCAUCAAUUGGAGACAUGAUUAGGAAGGAUCUCAAAAGUGUUUGAUGCAUCAUAGCAGCAUGUAUAUAUAUAUAUAUUAUUUUAAAAGAAAGCAAACAAAGACUGUCAAAGAAGUAAUUUUGCUGGCUUUGUUUGAUACAAGACCAGCACGAGAAGGAGAGCUCUCUUUGUCUUUUCCCAGUGAUAAAUUCAUUGCGCAGGCUUCUGCAAAAGAUGAGUCAAAAUUUUGUAAGGGAGUAGAGGAAGAGAGAGCCACUUUGUUUUGUUUGUUUUGUAAAGGAGGAAGAGAAAGCAAUUACCUCGUCGUCACCUUUACCGCCGGUGAAGAGUUUGUAUCCACUGUAGAAGAGCAAUCCCCAGCCAGAGAGCGAAAUAAGCACGAACUGCAGAUUUGGUUUUCGUCAGAGAAGAAAGGAAUCUAUAAAAGUAAAAAAACACACACAAGAGGAGAUAUGAAAGGUACAUGCUCCUCUUUCCAGUUUCCUGGAUUCGUGGGCUGUUUCCAGAAGUCAACCUUGGUAGAUCCAUGGUGAUCUGCAAACAUUCUCAUUCAAUCAAAUGGACUUGGCAAACAUUUCUCCACCCUCUGAUCUGAUAGGUGGAGGAAUAUGACAAAGAAAUUACGAACCCCAAACAUUAGAUCUAAGCUAAUAUUGGAAGAAGAGAAAGAAGAAAGUACCAGCGGCGCCGGCGAGACCGCGACGCUGACAAACAGAGGCGGGCACACGUGCAGAUGGAAUCUGAGCUAGGCUCAUUGCUCGGCGAGCGAAGGACGCCAUCGAUUUCUGAUUUAGGCUUCGAGAGAGAAGCUUCGCGAGUUUCAGGAGAGAUUAGAUGAUUCUACAAGAGAAAAGAGGCCAGUUUGCACGACAUGGAUUACUUCACUCCACAAGCCCCAUCUAAUAACAGGACCUACUCCCAGCAAACUGGCCUAAUUUAUUCGGCUUGGCGAGUAGAGUCUUCAGCUCGGCUCUAGACUGCUUUUAGCCGUUGGCAAAGCCGACCAAAAACACCCGGUUUGGAAGAACUCUACCCAGACCCGUAUACUCGGCUUCUCUGAACUAAGGCCCGGAGAGGAUCGAAAUUAGGGUAUCAAAGAGAGAAAACCUAUAAAGGAAAAGAAAGGAACAGAAAGAAAAGGAUUGACACUUUACACACACAUACACUGAACGGCUAGAUCUAGGGUUUUUAGUUUCAAUUCACUCCUAAUCGCUAUGUAUCUCUCCCGAUUUGCUCCUCGAGCUCCCGCUUGUUUCCUUAAUCUCCUGUCACCCUUGUAACCCAUUUAAUCAGUCUAAUAAAACGUCUUUGGUCAUCCCAUUUCGAAUUCUUUCAAUCUAGUCGACUGAAUCCCGUACAAACAAUUGGCGUCCACCGUGGGGCUGACUAAAGUAACGUUCUAGAUCUACAUGGCUCAAGACGACGCCACCUUCGGCGCUCCAGGCGGAGAACCAACACCUACGCCUGAAGCCGCGCCGCCAGAUUUCAUGAGCUCCGUCAUGGCUCGACUCGCUCGACAUGACGAAGUUCAAAAGACAACCAACGACCAGCUAGCUGCUUUGGUCGCAGCACUCACCGAUCCAAACGGCCAAACGAGCCGUCCCCAGAUGAUACGCCGUCGUCUAUUCAACACAAACCCAACGGCGACGGGUGGCGACCACAUCUCAGACGACUCGGAACCUAAUGAAACCCUUCUCACCGAUGCUCCCCCGAUAGGACCAGAUCUCGCAACCAUAAGAGAUAUCGCCGAGCUCAAACUCAGCUUUCAGCAAAUGAGCUCGAAGAUCCAUCAGGCUACUAGUGCGGCUCCACAAAUCGAGAGCAUACUCGCUGCAACCUCGCGAACCCCUUUUACUAGCGCACUGACCAGUGUGCAACUCGGGAAGAUAGAGAAGCUGCGCCUCCCUGAGUACAAGCCCGGAGGAGAUCCGGUGGAACACAUGACGGCUUUCAAUAUCGCGAUGGCACGUGCUCGACUCUCCGAUGAAGAAAGAGACGCAGGCUACUGUCAACUGUUUGUCGAGACUCUCCACGAGCAGGCCCUGACCUGGUUCUCCCAACUAGAGGAGAACUCAAUCGGAAGCUUUCGUGACUUAUUAGCGGCUUUCCUCAAGACAUACAUUAUGUUCACAAAGCGCAGUGCCACUGCAUCUAGCAUGUAGUCUCAAGGAUUGAAAUCCCAGACGGCAUCGCCAAAGAUCAGAGCCUCCGCGACUUAGUCUCAAGGAUUGAAAUCCCAGACGACAUCGCCAUCGAUGCCCUGCGGAACACGUUGUGGGUCCGCUCUAAGUUCCAAGAAGACUUAUACCAAAAUCCAACCACGUCGCUCCAAGAUGCUAUCACUCGUUCUGACAACUUUAUCCGAAUGGAAGAAGAUACAAACGCAAUCCUCAGCAAGAUGAACGCACCGAAAGCACCAGUGACGAAAAAUGCCAACACGAGACAAGAACCGCGCCAGCACGCUCCUAGCGACAAAAACAGCCGAAAAGACGGUUACAUGUAUAUCGUCAACGAGAAUAACGUGUCGGUCUCAACCAUGGUAGUCCGCGGAGAAGGGUGGAACAAAUGGGUCAGAGAGCUCGACUCGUCUGGUGAGCUAACUGAUACUGUCUGCGCGACUCAACCUGCUGUAGCAGCAUGUCUGACGGCAGGCCCUUCCAGAACCGUCGAUCUCACCAAACAUUACAAAUAUCACGACGUCAAAGGACAUGAUACGACAGAGUGCAAGUCACUCUAUGCGCACUAUCUCUCGUCUCUCGCCAGCGGCGACUUCAAAUUCGAGCCCCUGAAAGCUAAGCCCAAAAACGGCAAAAGCUGGAGCAAGAAUAAAGAAAGAAGGGCCCAGCGCAAAGCUACCGGCAAAGGCCGACAAAACGAAACGCAGCAGCAAGAUGAAGAUAAAACUCUGAAGGAUGACGGUGAGGAAGACUCCUCAGCCGACGAAGAACAGCCAGCUAACCGCAGGUGCAUAGAGGUUAUACUCUCUCAGCAAACCUUGUCAUCAGACGACGAGAACGACGAUACACCUAUACUCGGAGAUCUGAGAGAUGUUCUCAAACGAAAGCUCGAGUUCGAAGACGACAAUAGCUCUGAAUACAGUGAUCUCCGACUAACGCUGAAUGCACGAAAGUCUCACCGUAUCUCGAUCGGUGAUCCUGAACCCAAAAAACAUCUGAAACGCCCCAACGGUGAUCUUCGAGACAAACUCAACGCCGGAGCGUGCGAUCUUCGCAUACUUCUCAACCGCUCGAAGCCCACUGAUCUCCGAAGACGGUUGGAACAAACUAAGACGUCAGGCAACUCUACGCUGUCGCCGAACAACGAUAACGCAUCAGCCGAUCUGCGCGCCUUUUUAAACUCCAAGCGAGUAAAAACAAGACAGCGACUAAAUGUCAUUAUGGGUGGUUCUCCUCCCUGCGGAAAUUCUGUUCGUUCUGUCAAGGAUUACCGCCGGCAAGUCGCAACUUCGCAAAGGUGGCCAACUAGGUCGCCGAGUCAUCCUACGAUAACCGUCUCGCCUGAUGACACUGCAGGGAUUCAUAUCCCCCACAACGACCCUCUUCUUGUCGUUCUUGGAAUUGGGGAGUACGAUGUCACCAAAGUACUUAUUGAUACGGGGAGCUCCGUCGAUCUCAUCUUCCGAGGAACGCUGCAAAAGAUGGGAGUGGACCUCGACGACAUCAAAGCGUCCUCCAGAACGUUAACUGGCUUCAGUGGAUCUUCUGAAACAAUACUGGGGACAAUCCGCCUUCCGGUGCGCGCAUGCUGAGUUACUCGAACGGUCAAGUUCGCCGUUCCAAGCACGAAGGCACCUUAUCACGCCAUACUUGGAACCCCCUGGAUACACUCGAUGCAAGCAAUCCCAUCGACUUAUCACCAGUGUAUCAAGUUUCCUGGUACGGACGGCACGAUAAAAACAUUGCGAGGGGAUCAGAAGGCCGCGAGAGAAUUACAGAUCGCCACCGUCAAGCUCCAGCAUUCUUCUCUACCGGUUAACUCUGUCUCUCCUCCAAUCUUAAAAGUCUACCCCCAGAAAGAUGAAGUUCUCGAGAUGCCUAUAGCCGGACCGCACGAAUCAGCGCAUAUCUAUCUGAGGAUAUGCAGCAGUCAAUUCUCGACUUCCUCAAGAAGAAUGUGUCUAUGUUCGCAUGGUCCAUGGCAGACAUGAAAGGGAUUGAUCCAGCUAUAAUGACUCACGAGCUUAAUGUCGACCCAACCUUCAAUCCCAUCCGACAAAAGAGACGAAAGCUUGGUCCCGACAGGUCAAAAGCUGUUAACGAAGAGGUCGAACGGUUACUCGGUGCCGGCUCAAUCGCUGAGGUGCGCUAUCCUGAGUGGUUAGCAAACCCAGUAGUAGUCAAAAAGAAGAACGGGAAGUGGCGCGUCUGCGUCGACUUCACUGACUUAAAUAAAGUCUGCCCGAAGGACAACUAUCCUCUCCCCAAUAUCGACCGUCUAGUCGAGUCUACAGUUGGGAACAAGAUGCUAACGUUCAUGGACGCCUUCUCCGGGUACAUCCAGAUCAUGAUGCACCCUGACGAUCGUGAGAAAACGACCUUUAUCAUAGACAGGGGAACCUACUGCUAUAAGGUCAUGCCAUUCGGCCUAAAGAACGUAGAAGCGACUUACCAACGGCUUGUGAAAAAAAUGUUCGUAGAUAAGCUGGGCGACACCAUGGAAGUAUACAUCGACGACAUGCUUGUUAAGUCGCUACACGCUGCCGACCACCUCCGCCACCUACAAGAUUGCUUCGAAACUCUCAACAAGUACGGCAUGAAACUAAACCCGGCGAAGUGCACGUUCGGAGUUUCCUCAGGAGAAUUCCUUGGUUACAUCUUAAGACAACGAGGAAUCAAAUCCAACCCGAAGAAGGUCUCGGCGGUCCUGAACCUCCCAAGUCCAAAAAAUAGUAGAGAAGUCCAACGGCUCACGGGUCGGAUUGCUACACUCAAUCGGUUCAUCUCUAGAUCCACCGACAAGUGUCUACCAUUCUACGAUCUCCUGCGAGGGAAUAAGAAGUUUAUCGGGAUGAGAAGUGCGAGGAGGCAUUUGCUCAAGUCAAACAGUAUCUGACUACGCCGCAUGUACUCGCCAAGCCAAAUGUCGGCGACGUUCUAUCUCUUUACGUCGCGGUGUCCCCCGCAGCAGUCAGCAGUGUUCUGAUAAAGGAAGACCGCGGCGAACAAAAACCGAUCUUCUACACAAGCAGGCGUAUGACAGGACCAGAAACGCGAUACCCGACUCUGGAGAAGAUGGCACUGGCCGUCGUCGAAGCAACAAGAAAGCUUCACCCGUAUUUUCAAUCACAUUCGGUGGAGGUACUGACCGAUCAGCCCCUCCGAACAAUACUUCAGAACACCAACAGGUCCGGGAGAUUAACAAAGUGGACUAUCGAACUCGGUGAACUUGAUAUCACCUACAGGAACCGAACGGCAGCAAAGUCCCAGGUUCUUGCGGAUUUUUUAGUAGAACUGGCUCUGGAACUGGAGCAAGACCUCGCGUUCCUGAACCCAAACUGGACCCUUCAUGUUGACGGAUCUUCGACUAACAAAGGCGCGGGGGCCGGAGUCCAACUACAGUCCCGGACCGGAGAACUGACCAGACAGUCUUUUAGCUUCGGCUUCCCGACGUCGAACAAUGAAGCAGAAUAUAAAUCUCUGAUCGCCGGACUCCGCUAGCAAAAGCUGUCAAGGCUAAACAAACAUCUAAGCGCCUACUGUGACUCACAGCUAGUCGCCAGUCAGUUUAGCGGCGACUACGACACCCGCAACGACCGGAUGGACGCUUACCUCAAGUUAGUCCAAGGUUUAGCAGCAGAGUUCAAAUUCUUCGAACUCAUUAAAGUUCCCAGACGGGAAAACAUCUGCAACGACGCCCUCGCGGCCCUUGGCUGCAAGCUCCGAGAUCAGGUUAAACGAACCAUCCCAAUACACCGCAUUGAGAAGACAAGUAUCGAUAUCUCGACCGACUAAACGGUCAUCGUAGCCCCAGUCACCGCACCAGAUACUGACGGGUUCGAUCCGGACUGGAGAACAGAGUUCAUCGAUUAUCUCAGCAAAGGGGAACUCCCAGCCGAGAAAUGGGAAGCACACCGACUAAAAGCACUCAAUGCUCAUUACGUCGUCUUAGACGAUAAACUCCAUCGAUGGACCGCGAGUAAAGUACUCCUUAAAUGCAUUCAUGGGGACGAAACCCUCAGGGUUAUGGCCAAGAUGCAUGAAGGCGCCAGAGGCAACCACUCAGGCGGUCGCGCCUUGGCAAUCAAAGUAAGAAGUCUAGGCUUCUUCUGGCUGACAAUGAACGCAGAUUUCGAAUCCUACGCGAGAAGUUGCGACAAAUGCCAAAGGCACGCACCAAGUAUCCACUGCCCAACUGAAAUGUUACGAACGACAACAGCACCUUAUCUGUUCAUGCGAUGGGAAAUGGACAUCAUAGGACCCCUUCCCAGUUCCCGACAACGACGUUUUGUUCUAGUCCUCACCGACAACUUCACGAAAUGGAUUGAAGCUGAGGCCUUCGCUCAAGUCACGGACAAAGAAGUCCGCGGCUUUGUAUGGAAGAACGUUAUCUGCCGCCAUGGUCUGCCUUACGAAAUUGUUACUGAUAACGGAUUGCAGUUCAUGUCGGGCAACUUCAAGGAAUUCUGCAGCAAGUGGAACAUCCGAUUAAGCCCUUCCACCCCUCGCUAUCCGCAAGGGAAUGGCCAAGUGGAAUCCUCCAACAAGCUUAUCAUUGACGGCAUCAAGAAACGCCUAGAUCUGAAGAAAGGACAUUGGGCCGAUGAACUCGACGGAGUCCUGUGGAGUCACCGCACGACACCAAGAGGUUCGACUAAAUCAACACCUUUCUUCCUUGCAUACGGUGUCGAGGCUAUGGCCCCCACAGAGGUUAACGUUACAAGCCUCCGACGUUCGAAGAUGCCCCAGUACGUAGAACUUAACAAGGAGAUGCUGCUCGACGUCCUCGACGAGAUCGAAGAACGUCGGGACCAAGCUCUGCUCCGGAUCCAAAACUAUCAGCAUCAAAUAGAGAGCUACUACAAGAAAAGGGUCUGGGCCAGACCCCUCGAACUCGGCGACCUCGUCAUGCGCAAGGUGUUUGAAAACACUAAGGAACUAAACGCCGGUAAACUCGGGGCUAUGUGGGAAGGACCUUACAAGAUCGUCAAAGUCGUCAAACCAGGAGUCUACCGACUUGAAACGUCGCACAGAGAAGCAGUGCCUCGAGCAUGGAACUCAAUGCACUUAUGACGUUUCUACUCGUAGAAGCGUCGUCGCCUCCCAAAAAAAAAACCGAGUAGAUGCACCUCCGCGGUCACUUCCACUCAACCAAGUAAAUGCGCUUCUAAUAGCCACUUUUACUCGGGAAAAUCGAACUACGAAUGGCUUGAUCCUCAACCGAGGUAAGUAGGCAGCCUUAACCGGCCCAGCUGUAACAACACCAAAGUCAAAACCUUGUUCUUUGUUUCGAUCUCAAUCGAGUAAAUGACGAUCAAUGAACCCCGCCCGUCGUAGGACGGUCAUCGCAUCAAGCGAUUCCCAUACCGCCAACAAGAGGUAUGCGGACACUCACAUUCCACUACUCUGUUAUGCCCUGAUCAGACACUUAGCUGAAGGACCCAACGGUCGCGAGUCACCUAUGCCCCAGUAGCAUUGACCGACCAAAAAGAGCGAAAUCUUUACCUUUUUUCGACAAUCGAGUUACGGACUAGCUACCCAAAUACCCGACUGUCACUGGAAAAAUGGACAAAAGAACCUUGCACUCUUAGAAUCAGUCUCUUGUCUUCAAAAUAGAAUGGUUCACUUAGACGUUAUCUCGGCCAUAACGCGACAAGAACUGACCAAAGUCCCUUAGCGGCUUGUUUUGUUAUCUAUUUGCGAGAGUCAAAGAUCAAGCACCUAUCGUUUCUAAGCGAACACGCUGCGAAACUUUUAGGCGAGCUGAGAUUUACUUAAAAACAUCGCAGAUACGGAUAAGAAACAACAACACAUGAAUUUAAAGUUUGCUUAAAACAGCAACUCGCCGACAAGGUAAAAAUGUGUCUAAUCAUACAACAAAAGUGUCUAUCAAGACCACAAACGCAUUUCAACAAAAAAAAAACAAAGAGUUUAAGUGAUACAACAUCAGCGGAGGGUCAAGCAGCAGAAUCUUGGUCGUCCCCGUUCAGCACACUCGGAGCAGGAGGAUCCAAAGGGUCUUCGGUAACGGAAGCAAUCGGGCCCUCCACUUGAGCAGAAAUAGGAACAAGAAGGUCCACAUUAGAAGAGACGCUUCUUUUCUCAAUUUCACUGUUCGUCUCUUCCUCGUUGGGUUUUGGCGAGGACGUCUUCUCAGCUCGAUCACUGUUCUUCGGUGCCUGGGUUCUCAGUCCCUUCUUCUCGGACUAAGAUACCAUCUGUCUCGGGGUUGUCUUUCUCAGGGCUCUCCUCGAGGUUAUCCUUCUCUGGGCACUCCUCGAAGGUAUCCUUCCCUGGAACCUCAGCAUGUUCUGUCGGGGCCGACGUGAUAUCAACCAUCGGCUCUUCAGACGGCUCCUCGGUGAUCUUGCGGGAGGUAAUGAGUUGAGAAGCCAUCUCCAGUCCAAUCAGAUCCGCGUUCGAUCCAUACGGAUCAAACGGUGCUCGAAACCUGUCCUCAACAAAGCGAGAAAGAAGAACUAGCGGAGAAAGAGUAAGAUCGCUGUCAGACAGCGGAUCCACACGAAGUUUUGUAGCCACUGCCAUAUGAAGCUUCUCCUGCUCGACGAAGACAUAGAUCAUCUCUUGCGGGAUCUCCAUCCCGCUGUCCUUUAUCAUCUCAAGGAAUUUCCUCAUCCCUGAGGCUUGCCCGUAUAAAUUCUUUGCCUUUCCAAAGGCGUCAAAGCGAGUAAAGUAGUCGCGCACGCGACCAAAGCAAUGAUUCGCCUUAUCGGUCAUAGCGGCCUGAACCCUCUCCCUUUCCUUCAGGUGUUGCCUCUCUUUGAUCAGCUUUUCCACCGCAGAGUCCCUCUCUUCGAGAAGCUCAGCCUUUUCCUUCUCGAGAGUCGCGGCGGUCUACUCCAAACGAGCUUUCUCUCGGGUAAGCUCUUUCUUCGCCGCCCUAUCAGAUUUGAGCUUACCUUCGAGCUCUUCGAAUUUUAUUCGGAGAACCUCUUUCUCCUUAGCAGUUUCUUCGUUGGCUUUCUUAUGCUCAGCCCUCACUCUCUCGAUGGCUUUCAGCCUCGCCUGAGCAAGUUUCUCCGAAGAUCCCAAAUGAAUCAUCGUCUGCUUUAGGGUACUGUCGUACUUCUCGACGAGGAAGUUCAUGCUCCCGUCUAUCUGCAAAACGACAAAAUGAGGAUUAUUCGAGGUGGCUCGACCCACUCGUUCAAUAAGGAGAAAAGGAUAAAAGGAUAGCGCAGGUACCCGUGCUCUAGUGAAGGCGGCAUCAGCAUAUUCAUCUUUGAAGUAGAGAUCUCCUAUCUGUGGCAUUUCCCUCGUCCCACCACGGAUCUGCCGCGUCAACUCCGGGCAUCGAAGGGGGUUAAAAAUCAACGGAGUCUUCUCGUCGUAAGAAAACUGAACACGGUCUGGAAAUUCGCCCCCCCCNNNNNNNNNNNNNNNNNNNNNNNNNNNNNNNNNNNNCCCUCUCCUCGUAAGGGAACCUUCGGACCGAGCGCCUCUUCUCGUUGCCUAAUCAGGAGCAGACCUCUCGCUCGCUGUAGACUCGCUCCUAGUACCGCCUUCUGACGCUGUGACUUUUCUUCUCUUCUCUAGAGGAGUUCCGGGGGAAAGACUCUUUCUUCCCGCAGAGUCAACAGGAGUGGUUCCGUCAGCAAUUGGCCGCGGCACCGCUUCAACCGACCUCUUCUUCGUUUUCUUUUUAGGGCGAUCCUCAGGAACCGCUUCAAUUGGAUCUGCCCCGACGAGAUCUUCUGGACUGGCUUCUCGUCCUUCUCUUGGCAUAUCAUCGUGAUCAGCGGGAGAAGUGGCCCCUUCUCGGGGCCUUUUCUUCCCUUCUUUCUUCUUCUUCGCUUUCGAGCUUUUAGAAGCCUCGCCAAGAGAAGCUACUUCUCCAAGAGGAACGUCUGCACCAGGAGCCUCAUCGGUGACUCUCCUCUUCGCUUUCUUGCUCUUCUUCUGCUUUUUAGGACUUAAAGCUGAGGGCUCUGCAUCGAUAUCCUCGUCGACUAUGAUGGAGUCUCUUCCCUUAGAUGCCCCGGCUUCCUCAGAAUUGGUUGAUUCCAGAACAACAUUUGAGGUAGUUUUCUUCAAAAGCAGCUGCAGUUUCCCUUUCAGCAGAGCGUUCAAAUCUGGAACUCCCUCCAUUUCUCUGGCUUUGUCGAGAAGCUUCUGAUGCUUCCGAGUUAACAGAGAGAGAUGCGAUUUGCGAGGAUCGAGAACACAAGGAAGCCUCGACUCCCAGUCAACUACGACGAGAAGAACAAGACAAAGACUUAAUAUGGAAACUAUGAUGUUUCGACCUAAGGUAUCCGAGAGAACUAACCUCUGGCGAUCCUAGCUUGUUGACGACGUAUCCACUCUCGACUGAGAUCCGGCCAACGAAGAUAGCUGUGCGUCGCGAUCGCUUGAGCACUCUCGAAAAAAUUCUCUGGGUAUGCGAUCGUAUUCGGGUGACGAACAGCGAAUACAAAAAAAAAGGAGCAGUUAGAAUCAUCGAGUAAAGCACAACCAAAAAGAGAAAUCUCUACCAAGUUCUUUAUUCCACAAAAUGCGGUAGUCGUCCCCGGGCGGCUCUUCGAAGGCGUGCUCGUCGGACUUGACCUAGAAGUACGCACGCUGCCAAUCUUGCGUCUUGUUUGGGUGACCAGUCAAGACAUUGUAGUUCGCACGCAUCUUUACCGAGAAGAUCCCAUUUGGCUCCGCUUUCGUGAAAGUCAGCUCCUCAAAUACCCUCAUGCUCAUCGAGAUAUCCAUCUCCGCCGCCAUAACCAUCAACAUGACGACUAUGCGCAAUGAUCCAUUCCGCAGUUGAGAAAUAGCAAUAUCUCGACGAAACGCGUACGACGUUACCAACCGAGGGAUUGGAAACCAGAGCUUCGUGUGUUCCCCGAAGUAGGACUCGUACACGCAUUGGUAGCCAACCGGAGGCGACCAAGGACGUUUCUCGGUAGACGGGAUGAUGUAGGUAACGCCGGCACAACCAUUCUCCCUUAACAAAUUCUUCACAGUGUGGUGAGAGGAGCAGGAACCGAACACAUUCCCCCACGACUGAGCCCGCAGAUCACGCAGUAAUUCAGGCGGGAGUGGAGAAAGCUCCUCGAAGAUCCCGCCAGGAUGAUAAAUCGUGGUACGGCAGUCUAUCUGGUCAAAACGAACCCUUCAACGAACUCGUCUCAAAGGUCUCGAGGCUUGGUUAGACGCUUCAGAACCGCUACCACUCAAGUUGCUGCUCCCGACUUCGACGCGAUCCGCGCCUUCUUCACGAAUUUGCCUAUGGGCAUCAGCGACUAAAAGACGCUGGGAUAGACUCAUGUUCUAUGUAUCUCGUAGAGCAUCGCGAUGAAUAAGGUCAAACUCAUCCAGCGGACUACCAUUCGCUGUCACGUCUCUAGUCGGACUCGGAGAAGUAGCGAUAUCCUUUCCCUUCUCCUCGCGCGAUAAUCGACUUCUCGGAGGCAUGCUUUCUAACUCUGGGGACGACUAAACCAACGAACUAAACUAACAACUCUACUCGACGAAAGACGUAUCUAGAGAGAGAAAGUAAAAGUAGAGAGAAGGGAGAGAAAGCGGAAUACCUGAGUCAGCAGAGAAGAAUGACGAAAGCGAAAGGGAAAGAUCUACUUAUAGUAAAAACGAGGACACGUUUCCCAAACGCAAUCAUUAGGUCUAGAAGGGCCUAGAUGGGACUCAAGGGCCGCCUACAUGCCCAGAAACCUACUCGCGACGGUUUGGUUUCUCGCUUAAACCGGCUUCCGAUUGGAUAGUCAAACCGGAAUCAAUCUCCGAUUUUGAUCUAAACCGAUUCCCGGUCGAACAGCGAAACCGGCCCCAUCAUUUCACCCAAAGUAGUCUGUCACCCGAGUAAAACAUGCCCCCAUCGCAAAGACAAAAGAAAGAAGCAAGCAAGUCAUGAUAGUCUCUACUCGAGCGACUAAACGCGUUAAGCAACGACCAGAGAGACGAGAAAAGACACUCUCCGUCGGUUCCGAGUAAAAACAGCAUGCGACCAAAAACGCUUAACGACUAACGGGGGGAGGACUGCCUCUCGCGCUAGAACCUGUUAUCCGAACGAACCUGACCCACAAAUUCACUGAGAUCGCUACGCCGCUCACAAGUGAAAUUGGGGGGNNNNNNNNNNNNNNNNNNNNNAAAGGGGGGGGGGGGGGGACUUAUUGUAGGAGAUGGAUUACAUCCCUCCACAAGGCCCAUCGAAUAACAGGACCUAGCCCAGCAAGCUGGCCUAAUUUAUUCGGCUCGGCGAGUAGAGUCGUCAGCUCGGCCCUAGAGUGCUUUUAGCCGUUGGCAAAGCCGACCAAAAACACCCGGCUCGGAGAAACUCCACCCAGGCCCGUAUACUCGGCCUCCCCGAACUAAGGCCCAGAGAGGAUCGAAAUUAGGGCAUCAAGGAGACAAAGCCUUUAAAGGAGGAGAAGGGAACAGAAAGAAGAGGAUCAACACUUUACACACACAUACACUGAGCGGCUAGAUCUAGGGUUUUUAGUCUUCACUCCAAAUCGCUCUGUAUCUCUCCCGGUUUGCUCCUCGAGCUCCAGCUUGUUUCCUUGAUCUCCUGUCACCCUUGUAACCCAUUUAAUCGGUCUAAUAAAACGUCUUUGGUCAUCCCAUUUCGAGUUCUUUCAACUUAGUUGACUGAAUCCCGUACAAACAUAGUUUAUUAAAAAAAAAAAAAACUGCGUCGUUUUGGUUAGGUGAAACCCUCCUUUUUCGGCCAGAGGUUUCCACCAUAAACAGAGAAGAUCCUCCUUGGUUCAGUGGAAACUAUGUAAUUAUGUUUGUAAUAAGCUAGACACGUAUCAAUCAACUCUGACUAAACUCUGGAUUAUUAAUUUUUUCUCCAAAAGUUUCGUAGCCGCCGAAACCUUUGCUCUUAGAUCCACCACAGCUUCCUCGGUGGUUUGGUUUCCGCCACCACCGGGGAAGGCUAUUCUUCCUCCGUCUCUUCUCUAAGUGGUGUAUCUUUUUCUCUCUAAAAUCGUCUUAUUCUCUCAUUGUAUGGCAUCUUUUGUAGCGGUCAUUGAUGGUGUUCGUAUAGGGUUAUGAUGUUCUUCAUGGAGGUUAGAGCCAGGAUGGUGUGUGUUGGCCCUCUUCUUUCAGUCUAGACUGCUAUUGGUUCCAGCCCUUGUUAUUGUUUUCAUGAUUGGUUGAGUUGCGGUGGUUGUGGUUGUCCCGCCAGAUCUGUAGAGUGUAUAUGGAGUUUGUCUAUGGUGUUUUGUGUUCCUCUGUAGUAUCCAUGUGAUAUGGUGACAGUGGUGAUCCAUGGAUCUGACUUCGAAUUUCCUUGCGUGAUGGUUUUGGUGGUGUUGGUGGACCUUUGUCGCUGAUCUUUCCAAUGGUUUGUUGGUCUUUACAAUUAGUUGAUGGGUAACUUGAUUCUUUUGCAACGGAAUCAUGUAUGGCUUGUCAUGUGCGCCGGUUUUAGUUCUUUGUUGCCAUUCAUCUGUGUUUAGGCUUUGCUAUUGGUAGUUGGUUCACUUUCUUGUUUUUAAGUUUGGUGUUGAGUCUUAUGACUGCUUUGCUUCUCUGGUUUGUUGGUGUUCGAUGGUGACGCUUCUUCGUACUUGUCAUCCAUGUUCAGUUUGUUCCUGGUUCUUGUCAGAGGAGUUAUGCAUUGCUCCCUGUUUCAUGAUGGUUUCUAUUUAGGGUUUAUUGGAGACACAACAAUGCCCCAAUGUAUGUUGGACUGUCAUUGAUCUGAAUGGAUAGGGAUUCAUUAUUUGGAGUUGGACUUUGAAGCAUGUUGCGUUCUUCUCAAGCUGCUAUUGUGGAUAAAAGCAGAGCUUGCAGUUUUCAGGGUUCCAACUCAUGGAUUUUCAUUAUUUCCUCAAGUUCAGAUUAAUGUUUUGCCUGUUGUGGUCCGAUUUGGUUAAAUCAUGUCAUCACCCUCAAGGCUAAGACUCUCUCAUCCGAGCUUCUACUUGCAUAUCUUGUGAGAGUCUUCAUUCGUUUCAUGCUUCUGCUCGCCCUCUAUAAGAUCUGCUUUAUGAGGUGUUCUAUAUGAGCUUUUGAUGGUACUUACUAGUAUCUUUUGCUGUUCUUUUUUAUGUUUUUGUUGUUACAUUUGCUUCAGGUGUUCUACCCAUAAACUGUUUUGCUAUAUUAUCAUGUGUUGGACCACUUCAAAUAAAUGAAAUUCAGUGUUACAAAAAAAAAGCUAGACACGUAUCACAUAAAUGUAAAUGGCAUCAAGCUAAUUAAAUCUGGAACCAGAAAAACUCUUGCCCUUAUUUGUCAAAAAUAAUGUUCUACUAGUCUUUAUUAUGCUCUCAAAAUAAUACCAACUUUUACUAAUACAAAAUAUAGCCUACGAAACCUAAAUAAAAAGCUUUGACUCAGUAGAAUGAAACCAAAGCCCUAGUCUUGAACAAGUUUUGUAUACAAAGUCUUUUUGUGUUGAAUCAUAAGGCAGCACUUUAAGCUCCUCUCCUGCAUCUGCGUGCAUCCAAAACUUAUGAGAUCAGAGAAAGAGAAGAAAAGAAACGUGCAAUAUCAGUUCUGAGAGAUUUUCAUGCACACAUAAACAUUUGUACCUCGAACUCAGAUAUCAUCCUCAGAAGAUCAUGGCACUGCUCCAGCAUUAGCUUCUCUUGUGCCACCACUUCAGCAAGUUGAGAGGCAAGUGGAACGAUAUCCUCUAUCUGCUAACGGAAAUUCGUUAAGUUACUAAACCACCUACUUAGAUGUCACCUUUUUUAUUGUAACAAUUGUGAGAAGAAACAGAUGCGGAAACAGAUGAAUAAAAACGAUGUAACAACGAUACAUAGAUUUAACGUGGUUCCCCAAUUUGGCUACGUCCACGGGCAAAGAGAGAUCUUAUUAUUGGAAGCGAUAUUGAGCUUACAAAGUGCAAGUUCAGAGUUACUUCGAAUACAAGAUAUAUAUAGUAGAAUCUCGCAUCUAAAACCCUAGACUAAACGGACUCAUGGGCCUAAGCCCACGAUCAGAUGUAACAUCCAUAAUAACUUGAUGCAACGCUCUUGAUGCAACCGAGUCGGUAUGAUGUACGUGAUGUAACAUCCAUCGCCUAGAUGUAACAUCCAGAUUCAAGGCAUAUCAACAAUUCUCCACCUUGACUUGAAUCCUCUCAAUAACAGAUGUACCAGAUGUACCAGAUACACUUUCAAGUGUCAAAUGUACCAGAUGUGCUUCUCUGCGGUAGAUGUACCAUCACUUUCUUUGCCUCGGAUGUCCCUUUGGACCAGAUGUGCUGCUUAGACGAACCAGACGCCAUUUAACGGCCAAAUGCUCAACUAGAGCCAGACGUUCGUUAUCAGCCAGAUGUCCCAAUAGACCAGACGUCCGUACGGACUAGACGUCCUUACGGACCAGAUGCCCCGACGGGCCAGAUGCCCCAACGGGCCAGAUGUCCUUGCGGACCAGAUGUCUUUGCGGACCAGGUGCCCCUUCGGGCCAUAUGCCCCUUAGGGCCAUACUAACAGUUUGAGAUGUUUAGCAAGUCUAAGCAAUGCUUAAACUUGCUGUGAGGAACCGGCUUUGUGAACAUGUCAGUAGGAUUAUCUGCAGUUCCUACUUUCUUCACUUCAAUUUGCUUCUCAUCUCUCAAGAAGUGAUACCUCACAUCAAUGUGCUUCGUUCUCUCAUGAUGAACCUGAUCCUUGGCUAAGCAUAUAGCGCUCAAACUGUCACAAUACACAGUAGCCUGAUCUUGAUGCAAACCAAGAUCAUUAACCAAUCCUCUAAGCCAUAUUCCUUCCUUCGCAGCUUCUCUCAGCGCCAUAUACCCUGCCUCGGUAGUAGACAAUGUCACUGUAGACUGUAAAGUCACCUUCCAGCUAACCACAAAGCCGCCCAAGGUGAACACAUAACCGGUCAUAGAUCUUCUGCUGUCCACAUCUCCAGCAUAAUCAGAAUCAGAAUAGCCUGUUACCAAUCGCAGAUUGUUGCAUCCAUAGAUGAGACCAACAUCAGAUGUACCCUUCAGAUACCGGAAAAUCUGCUUCACAGCUGCCCAAUGCUCCUUCCCAGGUUGUCCCAUAAACCUGCUAACCACACUGACUGCAUGUGCCAGAUCUGGUCUUGUGCAGACCAAUGCAUACAUCAAGCUUCCUACAGCGCUAGCAUAAGGAACUCGAGACGUAUACACUAUCUCUUCUUCAGACUAAACCUCAUACAUGGUAAGAUGAAGAUUUGAUGCACACGGAGUACUAAUAGGUUUACAUGAAGACAUUUUGAACCUUGUCAACACCUUAUUAAUGUAGGCCUUCUGUGACAAGAACAAAUUUUUCUUCUCCCUAUCUCUGAAGAUCUCCAUCCCUAGAAUCUUCUUUGCUACACCCAAAUCCUUCAUCUCAAAUUCAGAACUCAGAAUCUCCUUCAGCUUCUUGAUGUCACACAUCUUCUCUGCAGCUAUCAGCAUGUCAUCCACGUAGAGCGCCAAAUAGAUGAAUGUGUCAUCUUUCAAUUUUCUCAUGUAGACACAACAAUCAUAAGGACUUUUGAUGUAGCCCAACUUGAUCAUAUAGCUGUCGAAUCUCUUGUACCAUUGUCUGGGAGACUGCUUAAGUCCAUAAAGGGACUUCCGAAGCUUACACACAUAGUCUUCAUUUCCAGGAACUCGGAAACCAUCCGGCUGAGUCAUGUAUAUCUCCUCCUCACGCUCUCCAUGAAGAAACGCAGUCUUCACAUCGAGUUGCUCAAGCUCCAAGUCCUGACGUGCUACCAGCGCUAGCAACACUCUGAUGGAAGUAUGUCUGACCACUGGUGAAAAUAUCUCAUUGUAGUCUACUCCCUCUCUCUGACUAAAACCUCUUGCAACAACCCGAGAUUUAUACUUAACUCCUUCUAUCGGUGAUGCUCCAUCCUUAAUCUUGUAGAUCCACUUGCAUGUAACAACUCUUCUCCCUAGUGGUAAUGUGACCAAAUCCCAUGUAUGAUUCUUCUCAUGAGACUCCAUUUCGUCUCCCAUUGCUGCAUGACAUUUCUCAUACCCGGGACAAGAAACAUCUUCCAUGUAAGUGGAUGGUUCAUACAUAUCCACUUCAUCUACAACCUGAAGUGCAUAACCCACCAUAUCUUCAAAACGAUAUCUCUCUGGUGGCCUGACAUCAACCCUUCUUGGUCGAUCCUUCGCGAUGCUACGCUUUGUAGCAUCAGGCGGUAGAGUAUCCGUAGACUCCAACUGAACUUCUUCUACACGCUCAUCUUGAUUUUAUGUGUGUUCAUGUACAUUGAUCACUUCAUGAUCAUCAGUACUACCUUUCUCUGCUUCAGAACUGGACCAUGAGCUUCUAACCAUAGAUGUCACGCCCCCAAUCCUGGAUAGGAUUGUCGGACGGCCAUGGUUCGAGGAAACGUACCAGCCAGUCUUAGGACAUUAAGGCAAGCGUUCCAUGGUCGAGAAAGAAGGUUAAGAACAUAAGGAAACUUAGACUUAACCUUAUACAAGCUAAGAGACAGUUAGGAUGAGUAAGAUGGUAGCUGGACAAAGUAAACGAGUAGCUCGACCAGCUCAACGAAGCUAGGUUAAGUUCACUCCAACUCAACCACUACUAAGUCAGCUCCACUAGCUGGACCACUAGCUCACUCAGCUGAAGCAGCUGGGAGUCAGCUCAUCUCAGCUAGAUAGAAUGUUCGGGUUUCUGGCCGAUGGUCCGGGCUCGGCCAGUGGCGGGCCGUGAGGUCCGGUCAUGGGGCCAUGGACCGUUGGGGCUUGGGACAAGGCUGUGGGAUAAGUCCAGAAGGCUUGGGUAAGGCCUUGGGCUUAUGACCGACCCCAAACCCAAUCAGAAUAGGCGAUGGGAUGCAAGUGACCGAGAGGGCACAACCCUUGGCCGAUGGUGCCCAUCCGCUAGCAAGUCAUGCCUGUUCGUGGGGAAAGACUUACCCCCUCGUUUUCUAUAUUUAUGGGGCCCUCUCUGUCAAUUUCAUUCAUCCAUUCCAGAGUAAAAUAACUCAGAGAAAUCGUAGAGAGAGAGAGAGUUUCCGGCCAAGAGAAAGGCCGAGAGUGGUGGUGAUUGUUUCUGGCGACUCUGAUCGUUUAGGAACUAACCUCCGGUCAAGAUGGGAGACCAAGACAAGGAGAAGAACGUGUAGAACCUAGAGGUGGUUCAGAAGGUAUGAUAUGGGCCGUGGCUCCAUCAGACCGAACAGACGGUCCAUGCGAUCACACCGCGGCUCUGUAGGUUCCUAAGUCCCAUCCGGCUUCUCUUACUUGUUUUCUAUCCGAUCUCUUUCUGUUAUGUCUGAUAUACACGAAAGGUUGUAUUGUUUCAGUCCAAGGGACACGUCCCUAGACUUGGCCGAUCAUAACUUAACCACUAGCCUAGACAUGGGUCGGCUAAACGGAUGGUUUGAAUCGCACCUAUGACUGGGCGGUUAGAUCAAAUGGUUGGGCAUGUAUCCAAAAGGCACGAGUUGCCAAAGGUCACGAGUUCCAAAGGUUGUGAGUUGCCAAAGGGUGCAAGUAACCAAAAGGUACGAGAUACCAAGGGUUACAAACAUCAAGAGGUACGAGGACCAAGAGGUACCAAUGAACGAAGGGGUGCAUGUUCCAAACAGUGUCUGUUGAUGCAGGUUCUGUUGAUGCAGGUUCUGUCCGAUCCUUAUGGAUCAGUCCAUGUCUUGUCUGUUGAGAUAAGUACACGGUUUGUCUAAGCCAUGGUAUGAGUCGCAAGGUCUGAUCGGUUGAUUAGCGUACCGGAUUGGGUUUGAGGCUUACUCGGCCGUUGGAUCCAACCCCAAGGCCGGAUCAGGUAAGGAAGCCCGUUGGGCCAUCGAGCCGGACUUCAUGGACCGGUCGCACCUAGAUUCUAUCCGGUUAGACGGAUUGGUCUUUGGGACGAUUCGGACCUGUUCGUGUGUUCUGUUUAUCUAUUCUGGACCGUCUAUCUGAUUCUAAGUCAAGGGGUGGUUGGUUGAAUGACUUAGGAUACGGUAGAUGGUUUCAUAUCUUUUUAUGAUUAUAUUGACUGAGGUUUAUCUAUGUUCUAGGAACCAAGCCAAGAAUUGUAGAAUCAACUAGUUCUAAUCUCGGUUAUGAUUAAUGCUUAUUUGGUUGCGGUUUCAGGAACUAAGGAUGGUUCUGGUCAAGCCAAGGAGCCGUGAAGGCUCGGUUAGUGAGAGGCUGUGUAACGUGUGGUUAGAUGAUGCUAGGGAUGAACUAGUGAUUGUCUAUGAGACUGUUAAGAAGUUAUGUAUUGGAUCUCAUGUUUCUAAGUAAUACAAGUUAUACACAUUUAUAUUCCGCUGUGCAAUCUGUUCGUUUGUUUAUGAACCUCAUAUUCGAAUAUGACAGUAAAUAAAAGACUUAGAAAUGAAUCAAACAAGCAAAGAAAUUAAUAAGUAAGCAUUUGUAUCCAGUUGGGUCGAGAGACCAGGAUCGGGUCUUACAAUAGAUGCUUCAUCGAAAACAACAUUCCUGNNNNNNNNNNNNNNNNNNNNNNNNNNNNNNNUCCUGCUUAGAAUCACUCGGUUUUCUGAUUGAGACCAGGCCCUGUAUCCCUUGACUCCAUCGCCGUAGCCCAUAAAAACUCCCUUCCUUGCUCUCGGCUCUAGUUUACCUUCACUUACAUGAUAGUAAACAGUGCAACCGAACACUCUUAGAAGUGAAUAAUCAGCAGAUAUACCUGACCACACUUCAGAAGGUGUCCUGCACUCGAUGCCUGUGUAGGGACCGAGAUUUAUCAAGUAACAAGCCGUGUUGACUGCUUCAGCCCAAAACCGCUUCUCCAGACCAGCAUUCGAGAGCAUGUACCUUGCUCUCUCUAGCAAUGUCUGGUUCAUUCAUUCUGCUACACCAUUCUGCUGUGGUGUUUCUCUGACUGUAAGAUGCCUUGUAAUCCCCGCAUCCUUACAAAACUGAUUGAACUCUGCUGAGCAGAAUUCCAGACCGUUAUCAGUACGAAGUCGCUUCACCUUCUUCUCUGUUUGAUUCUCCACCAAUAUUUUCCACUCCUUGAAGCUACUGAAUGCUUCACUUUUGUGCUUCAUAAAAAUUAUCCAAGUCUUCCUCGAAUAAUCAUCAAUCAUCGACACAAAAUAUAUGUGACCUUUCAGGGACUCUACUCUGGAUGGACCCCAACAGUCUGAAUGGAUGUAAUCGAGUGUGCCUUUUGUUCUAUGAAUUGCCUUGCGAAAGCUCUUUCGAUGCAGCUUCCCAAAUAUGCAUUGCUCACAGAACUCUAGACUUUUGGUCUUGUGACCACAGAGAAGACCUUGCUUCGGCAGAAGUUGCAUCCCACGUUCACCCAUAUGUUCAAGCCUCAUAUGCCACAGCUUAGUCAUAUCUUCCUCUGAGAUCUCUGGUGAUGCAACAUUUGCUGAACCUGUAACGGUAGUACCCUUCAGCAAAUAUAGAGUACCGUUCAUGAAACCCUUCAGAAUCACAUCAGAACCCUUGCAGACAUUCAAAACUCCAUUGCCACCCGAAUAUUUGAACCCUCUACUGUCCAGAAGACUCAUGUAUAUCAAAUUCUUCGUCAUUGAUGGAACAUGCCUAACCUCGUUCAAUGUGCAGAAUCUACCAUCAUGUGUCCUGAGCUUGAUUGAGCCGAUCCCAACAAUCUUGCAGACAAAAUCGUUUGCCAUCUUAAUCUUGCCGUCAAGUACCUUUGUGUACUUCGAAAACCACUCUCUCCUCGGUGUCAUAUGGUAGGAUGCUCAUGUAUCCAGAACCCACACAUCAGAAGAGUGUGUGUGUCUGUGCACAACAAGAGCGAUGUCACUAUUAGACUUGGCUUCAUCCUCAGCUACUGCAGCAGAUCCAGACUGUUGCUCCUUCUUCUUCUUGGGACAGUCUGACUUCCAAUGUCCCUUCUCUUUGUAAUACUUGCAAGUAUCAGUUGGCUUAGGACCUCUUGGAAACAAUUUUCUUCCUUUCGACUUCCUUUUGUUCCCAUAUCCCUUCACACCACUGAUAAACAAUCCCAAAGCUUGAUUGUAUGUCCCUGAGUUGGAUGCCUUAUGGCGUAAUUCCCGACUGUGAAGCGCCGACCUAACUUCUUCCAGUCUCAUUGUAUCUUUGCCAACAAUGAACGAUUGCACGAAGUUCUCGAAAGAGUUCGGCAAAGAUACCAACAGGAUUAGAGCAGCGUCUUCAUCCUCCACCUUAACAUCGAUGUUACGCAGCUCCAGUAAUAUCGAAUUUAACUUGUCAAGAUGGUCGCGAAGCUCAAUAUCUUCUUGCAUACGCAAAGCAAAGAGGCGUUGCUUCAGAAGUAGCUUGUUCGUCAGAGAUUUUUUCAUGUACAAGCUCUCCAACUUCUACCACAAAUUAGCAGCAGUUUUCUCAUCCGACACUUCGAUGAUGAUCUCGUCUGCUAGACACAACAAAAUUGUUGUGAACGUCUUCUCUUCUAGAGUCUCCAAAUCAGCUGCUUCAGAUUUUUUCCCUGACAAUGGUCCCCAGAUGCCUUGUUGCUUCAACAACGCCUGUAUCUUAAUCUGCCAAAGACUGAAGCUAUUUCUCCCAUCAAACUUGUCGAUCUUCGCUCUUAUUCCAGACAUCUUCUCACUAGAUCACAACCCGAAGCUCUGAUACCAGUUUGUUGUAACAAUUGUGAGAAGGAACAGAUGCGGAAACAUAUGAAUAAAAAUGAUGUAACAACGACACAGAGAUUUAACGUGGUUCACCAGCUUGGCUACGUCCACGGGCAAAGAGAGAUCUUAUUAUUGGAGGCGAUAUUGAGUUUACAGAGUGCAAGUUCAGGGUUACUUCGAAUACAAGAUAUAUAUAGUAACAUCUCGCGUCUAAAACCCUAAACUAAACGGACUCAUGGGCCUAAGCCCACGAUCAGAUGUAACAUCCAUAAUAACUUGAUGCAACGCUCUUGAUGCAACCGAGUCGGUAUGAUGUACGUGAUGUAACAUACAUCGCCUAGAUGUAACAUCCAGAUUCAAGGCAUAUCAACAUUUUUUUUUCUCUCUCUGCAUCGAAAUAACGUACCGUGGGAGCAAAACUAUUCACAGUAGAAAUGAUAGCAUCAGAGACUGCUUCUCCUUUCCGAAAUAUAGUGACAGCAGAUUCUAUCUUCACCUGAAAACAUUUAGGUGUUAGUGCCAAAAAAAAAAAGAAGAAUCUUAAUUAGCAGAUGAGCAAGAUCUAAUUUACCUUUGCACCUUCCCUUAGGGGAACCCUGGAAAGAAGAGAAUGCAGGGAUUGUGUGGUCAUGGAAAUAGAUGAAAAGUGUUCUCUUCCCAUGUCCUCCCAUGCCUCAAGAUGCUUAACCUAUUUCAGAUAUAUAUAUAUAUAUAUAUAUAUAUAUAUUUCUUAUCAAUCAGAUGCUUCAAAGAGACUAGCAAGAUAAUCUCUGCGGGUUUGGCAAUACCAGAAUCGACAAAUGGGUUUGGAUCUGAGACGUACUUGAGAAACAAGGAGAUGAGCCAGCUUCAUUUCCAACUGUUUCUUUUGCAGAUUAAUUCUCUCUUGUAGAACCAAAUUUUGUAAUUUGGUAAGAGCAUCACAUGCACAUAGUAAUUGUUUCUGCAAAGGUUUCAUGAGUAGAAGUGAUGAUAACUGUAUUUUUUUGUAGAGAGUAGAAAGAGUGACAUUACCUUUGCUCGGGAGGCUACAUUAUUGUUUGCAGCCGAUGCUCUAGCAUUGACAAACCUCCACUGAACCAACCGAUUGUUCAUAAGCUUCAGCUGAUGAGAAGCCUCUGUCUUUGGUUUUAAUGGGGAAGAGAUGGGAGAAGACUUGUUCUUGCUCCUCCUGAAGAAAUCCAAACCAAGGUUGAAUAGUUUACCAACGCCUUUACCUCUUGGAGGCUUGAGGUUUGAACUUGGAUAUAUGCUCGAGGCCUGAUGAGCUUCCAAUGAUCUUCCUGGUGACAGCGCCCACUGAGACAUUGAACUGCCAUACCUAGCUGCUGAAUUAGUCCUACUCUCAAUACCCCUAAAGCUCUGGGAACCUUGUUGUAACCUAAUAUUGUUUGUGGUGCACCCUUUCCUUGCAUCAUGCAGAUAUUUAGAAGAGACUUUGAUACCAGGUUUAUGGCUCCUGGAUAAUGAACGACUUGUGCUAAGAGUUGUUGAAGCAAAGGACACAUCACUCAACUCUGAAUCAGAUUCAUCAUUAUAAUAGAGUAGAGAGGAGCGAGAGUUUCUCCUUGAUGAUGAUAAUGAUGAUGAUCUGUGCAAUGCACAUUCGUCAACGGAAAAUCUGCCAGGAAGUAUGACAUUAUCCUCAUCAUCGAUCUGCCUACUAUUUUCUUUUGUGUCAACUUCAGGACCAUUACUUUGAUUUGGGAUCCCAUCUGACAUCCGAUCAUUCUUUCUCAGACCGAGAUGGACGUUGUUGGAAGAUGAAUUGGAAGUGGAGUUUCUGCCGAUAGGAGAAGAACAUGAUGACGGAGAGAGGAAACGUGAACUAACCACGCGGGACUUUCCUCUGCUUGUUGUUUUCAGGGAAACAUUUUCAUGCUCACAACUCUUCAUUGUUACUCUGAGAGCUUCCUCUAUGAGAGAGAGAGAGAGAAGUAGGGAAGAUUUUAAAUCUUAAGUUACAGAGAAUCUUUUUUGUAACUUUCAAAAAAAAUGGCGGCUCAAUAGAUGAGUCAUAAGUUGGUUCGGUUCCACUAUGGUCGCCAAUAUUAUAGGGUUUGUUAUUAUUCAGUUAUACUUAUUCUUUGAAGCAAAGAUUUUUUUCUCUCUUUUUUUGUCUUCUCGUAAGAAAAGAUUAUUGUAUACAAACAGAGAAUAAUUGAUGCUUCACUGAAUUUGAAUUAUCAACAUUCACAACAUAUAGAAAGUGAUUGGUGUCUGUCUGAGCAUACAAAACACUCGCAAGUGUCUCUGUAACCAAAUGUGGGAGGUAUGGCUGUCUAGAAGAUGGAAGUAAAUCUAGCCAAACACUAAAAUAUCAAUGAAAAUUGCAUUGUUUCAUAAAAAAGGUGAAGUGAAGAACAGCUCCAUUGUCGAUAAAACGAGCAUCCACAUUGGCAUAGCCCAAUCCCAGAAUAUCCCACAAUGCCUCUAGUGCCUCUGUGUUUCUCGAUUGAGGAUAUUUGAUUGCCCUUUCUUUUUUUUUGGCAGCGCAAGUGAAUCUGUAUAUUAUUUUUCUUAAUUCUUUAGAAUCUAAAAGAAGAUGAAGGUUUUUUCUAGCAUGGAACAUGUCAGACAAUAAGCCUAUUGUUAAUAAGGUUAUCUUUGUAUACACGCUACUAGUCCCGGAGAGAACCGGGAAGUCGCUGGAGCCUAUAGAGUUUAUGUUUCAGGGUUGGCUGGAAAGGAGCGGUCAAGUUGAGCUUGGAGAUUCUGAGCGUCUUGUGCUCAAGGGUCAAGAGUCUUGACUUUUGAGAACAGAUUUGGACAUUGUUAAACCAGAAGAGGCAGAACAUAAAAUAUACUCUGUUCUGUUCUCUUGUUUGUUUUUUUUUUUGAAACACAACUUAUAUUAAUGCAACAGAGAGAGUUAGGUGAUAGUCAUAGAGACUUCACCAUCUACAAGACCCUGUUUUGUUUAAAAGAUCAGCAGCAGAGUUCUAUCUCUAGGAAUCCAGUUAAAGGAAAUAAACUCAAAGUGAAAUGAAAGAUCAACAAUGUCGGAAAUGAUCAGCAGCAGAGUUCUCUUGUUUUAAAUUCAAAGAAAAUAAGACAGAUUUUGCAAAUGCGAUUGAUGGUGUACAGGCCCAUGCAUAUUCCAGAAAGAUAAGUGCUCUGGGAUUAUUUUUUUCCCCUUGUAAUACUCGGAGACAAUACAGACCUUUGUGGUCACUUCAUGUUUCACGACCUCACGCUAACAUUCAUACAGUUAAAAACAGUUUCCAGAGACACCUCCGCACAUUUUCACUAGACAUAUCAACUCUGACUAAUUCACUAUCAAACAACACCAUCAUUUUGCUUUUACUAAAAUAAAAACACCACAUGACUACCCUUGUGUCUACUUUAUUGCUUAAAAAAGUAGGAUUCGAAGAGCAAAGAUACUUUAUCGAUCUAACACUUCAAAGCUCGUAACCUGGGAACCUGGCCUGCGACGGGUCGACCAUGUCAAGGAAGAGAUAGGCCAUCCCUCCAACGCCUUCAAACAAGGAAUAAGGACUAUCACCUCCGUGCAUUUCUCCUUUUGAGAGUAGCUUGUGGCCUUUGUCAAGCAGAAAGCUGGCGAAGGCUUUUGCCUGGUGCAGAUACUCGUUCCGUCCAGUAGCUCUGUAAAGGGAGAGAGAAACAUAUGCAUUGCCACUGAUCCCAUGACAGAUCCCCACCUGCUUGAGCAAUCCACGGUUCCAAACCACCUCUGCUGCAGCUUCACCAGCCUCCAGAAACUCUCUCUCCCCAAAAACCUGUGUUUCAUUCAUAUCCCAGAGAUCAAUAAUGGUCUAGAAAGCAUUAAAAGGAAUCAUCACCUCAGCUGCCUUCACAAGCGUCCCGGGAGCUCCAUGACACCAAUGCACAAGAAAAUCUCUUCUCCUAUCCUCUUCACUAGCAGGGUAGUUUCCAUUUGGAAACCGAUUGUUGAUGAUAUACUUAAGGGUUCCCCGCACAUCCUCUGCCACGUCUGGCUUCAGCUGAACAUCCAUCAAGACAUGCAUGAUACCAGCAAGCCCAUGUGCUGCGCCCCAGUACCUUUGGCCAUACCAUUGAAACAUAAGGGGCGAGUUUCCAUUCUUAGCCAUUGAUCUACCUUCCUUGAUAAUCUCCUCAGUAACUUGGCGCAGCACACUUAUUCUUUGUCAUAAAGAUAUUAUAGUGACAAAAAAGGCGACGUAUCAAAAUCUUUUAACAUCCUAAGCAUUUCACUUACAAUGGUAGUUGAAGACAAAGUUUCUGCACCAACACAUUUGUUCACAAAGAGACAAGCCCAUAGAUAACCAACUCUUCCUGAAUAAGCUGACCAGUUUAACCCCAAGUCUCCAUCACAACCUGAGAAACAGAUCAAAUGCCCAAUGGAAUGGAAUCUAUAUAAUAAGAAAGAAAGACGAUAUCUUUUGACUCCGUAACCAUAAGCUUUUGACUCUUCUCUGAAGAAGAAAAAGCUCUCAUCACUCGCUCCCUUAAACCAUCAAUCAAUUCAUGGCCGAUGUCUUCAUGAGCGACGACAAUAUCUCUGAGGCCCAUCCCCCGACUCAACAUUCGUUGGAUGGAGAUGGUGAUUUUGGAUCUGAAAAUAAUCCCGCCUCCCCCAACGGCAACGACGACGACGCGUUAUUCGCCUCCGACGUGAGUGGCGCCGGUCAGUCUUCUAUUCAUUCAAUAUGGUUGAAAAAUCGUCAUAUGGGAUGGGAGAGGAGAGAUUUAGUAUAAUUAACUAAUGUGUAUCUUGUAAGCUUACAAAUAGAUAUCAGCUUACUCCAUCAGAGUACCACAUGUCUUGUCUUCACCAUACAUUAAAUAAUCUCUCAGUGAUUUUUGAUACUGAUGUUUUCCUUCACAGCCUAAACGCCAUUCACCUUGAGGAGGAGAAGGAAAAGAAAGAGAAGGAGAUGCGCAAUCAGAUCAUAGCUGAAGCUGAUGCAUUCAGGUAGGUAAUUAAGCAGAGCUAUUAAUUAAACUCACACAACUUCAUGCAUGCCAGUUUUGAUUGCAGAGCUUAUCCCGCGUGAGGCUGACAAGAAGCCUUCUGUGACUGUUAUCCAGGGUCCUAAACCUGGGAAGCCCACCGAUCUUGGGAGAAUGAGGCAGAUUUUCCUCAAGCUCAAGACAAAUCCACCACCCCACAUGAUGCCUCCUCCUCCGCCCCCAGCCAAAGAUGGAAAACCUGCAGCGGAAACAAAAGGGGCAGAAGAAAAACCUGCAAGUGCUGAAACAGCGAAACCAGAGGUUGCUGCAGUUGCCUCGGGAGAGGGGGAGAAACCUGUGGCUGAGGCUGAGGGAGCCAAGGCAGACGUUCACGUUAAUCAUUUUGAUUCCACGUCUUAUAUUUGCAAGACUUGAGGAUUUACAGAUACUGGUUGUUUGUUGGAUGAAUAAUAUCUAUCAUAAGUUGUCUGUCAAUAGUUUGGGUGGUGUUUGAUCCAAUAAUGGUGUUUAUGCUGAAAUGUUUGUUGAAUCAAUACAAUAAAAGAAUCUAAAAAUAAAAGAUUAGAUUCUUGAGGUUUAGGAGAAAUCUUAAAGAAUCAAAUAGAAAAUGAACAUCAAAAGAGUUUAUUGAUUUAAGAUUGUAUUACAUGUAGAAUUACAAGUGUAAAUAAAUCUAACAAUCCAUAAACUCUUUGUAGAAUGUGUUCUAGGUCUAAAAUGGGAAAGAGAAUCCCCUUUCUCAUAAGGAGGAGCUCCUUAUUUAUAGAAAGAUAUGUCUAGGGUUUUCUAGCCAAAUGGGCCUAGUACAUUGUCUAAUGGGCCUUGAGGAAGGAUGUAAAUCCACCUCCAACAGUAAGUCCCCCAAGUUCGUUGGGAGAGAUGAAAUCGAUCUCUGCGAAGUUUACGAAUAGGGUUUAUUAGACAAUGAACUAGACACAUUCAUGCCUAUGACGGUUUAGGCGAGUUUAUUUCGAACUUGUGCCUAGUAAGAAGCGAGUUUGCUUUAAACUCGUGCUUAGCGAAAGACGAGUUUACUUGACUCAUGCUAAGACAGAGGCGAGUUUACUGAGAGCUCGUGCCUAGUGGAAGGAGAGCUUCUGUAAACUCAUGCCUAGCCAAAGACGAGUUUUUGUAAACUCGUGUCUAACAAUAAGCGAGUCGAAUGCAAAUUUGUGCCUAAUAAAAAGCAAGUUCAAUUUAAACUCGUGCCUAAAAUACACGUUUACCGAACUAUUGCCGACCCGAAGUCUCGUGUUGAGAUUGUGUGUAUCGAGCAAGUUGUUGGCUUGUGUGUUCGUCAGGUUAUGAUGAUGUUGAGAAACGUGCUGCCUUGUGCCAUUUGUACUGCUCCCGACAAGCUCGUAGGUGAAAGCUCAUCUUUCGAAGCGUGAGAACAUGAUGGUGACAACUGCUUGUUGAUUCUCUUUGGCCCAGAAUCGCUGGCUCGCAAAAAAUAUGAUCAUGGUCAGAUCAAUAUAAACCACAAGACAUAACCAACUUUGGCAUAAUCAAUAAACAAGCUGCUGACUUGUUUUUGCUUAGUGUUCACAAGUUGAUUUGAUACUAGUAAUAUAAUAAUUACUAAGCAAUGUGCAUGUCACGGAUAAUAAAGCAAGCACCACUGAGUUUAUAAAAUUUAAAUAUUCGAGAAACUUAUCUUUGAGGAUAAGUAGUCGCGAGUUGUUGGAGAUGAGAACUUAUCUCUUCCUUUUUUUUUUUUUUUUUUGAAGUAGAUGACCCUGAGCUGAGGCCAGGCUGGUCAUGGUCCAUCAUAUGCUCCUCUGUUUUCUUCUCUCUCUCGUUUUGGAGCUUGAACAGAGCUUGAAGCUGCUUUGAGCUGCUCUAGAGGUCAUGUCUGAGCUUGAGCUUGUUCCUCUUCUCAUCUUGUGGUCGUCUCUGUUCGUCAAGCUCGUGGCGAGAUGAUAUCGGAGAUGACACGUUCAGUCCCACCACCGAAACCCGACCAAACACAUGGUAGCUUUACUAGAUCAGUCUCGAUGAUCGUAUCCGUAUCCGACGUUCUUGGGGUGUCACAGCAGCAGAGUAAACUCCAGUCAAAACGUCUCUGCAUCUCAUGAAUCUUCUUCUCGAGAAAGGCCAGAACUCGAAGAUGCCUCGACUGUUAUCCUGUGGAGAAUCUAGUCUGUAUAAUCAAGAACAAGGAGGAGCUGAUCGUUGUUGUGAUCGCCAUGUGAGAACUCGUCUAGUGGUCUUGAAGCUUUAAAAACUUUCUUCACAAACUCAUGAACAGAGUCUUUCUCGAGAAGAUAAUCAAGAGACACUGAUCCAACUUUCUCUUCUACUGUUUUAUCCUCCAGAUGGAUUCUCUCAAGGCUCUUCACGAGAAUAUGUUUUGUGCCGACACGUUGGUUGCGGCAAACUGGUUGUCGGGAAGAGAAGCUUGAUGUAAGGAAGUUGAUAAGCUUUAUUCUUGGCUAGGGGUUUGAAGUCAGCGAGUUCAGUUACAUGACAAGUUCAGAGCUUUAUUUGUGAAGUCGAGCUCAGGCUCCUUCACUUCCAAAGAAGAACAAGAACAGAUGAUGGAGCUUAGAGAAGCGCAUCAUUUGAUGAAACAAAUGACGAGGUGAUGAGGGGGGCGAGGUGAUGAGGGGGGCGAGGUGAUUGGUUCGUCAUCUCCGCUCUUGCCGGAAUCAGACGGUUGCAGGAAGCGACAAGUUCGUCCAACAAGAAAGUCUCGAACUUUGGAAGUUCUUUGGUAACAUCAACAGCAAGGCUUCGUCAGAGAGCUUCAUACCCUUCGUUCGCUGUGUCGAUCGAAUGUUUCCGUAGCUUCUCUCAACUUUCUCUCACUCUGUCUCUUCGUUCGCUGUGAUGGUGAAGAUGGUGGACUUAUUGUACGAGCUCGUCGUCUCGUGGAUCUCUCUUGCCUGAGCUGAGAUGGUGGUGAGCUCAAAGCUGGUGACUUUACCAAUUAGGUCCGAGAGCUGGUCACGGAUCGAGAUCGUCGAGAUGAAGAGAAGCCUCUGAACAGAGAUUACAACCCCGAUACCGUACUUCUCCACCGCGAACAGCUUCUUUGUGAAGAGCUGAGGAUGCGACCCCGUUACUCUCCGCCGCUCAGUUUCUUCGCCAUUGGAUUUGAUGACUUGGAGCAGAUCGCCACCGUCUGUGUGUUGCUCCGUCGUCGUCGGGAUCUCGCCGGAGGGAAUGACGAGGACGAGGUGAUUAUGAAGCUUGUUGGAUCUAAUUUGGGUUUCUCUCCUCAAAAGAUCAUCUUUUUCUUUGAGCCCAAACCGCCUAGGUUGUUGCAGGCGAAGAUGGAGAGUCCCGGCCUAGGUAUCGACGUCGACGUCUCCUGUCUCGCUAGCCGCAACGGAGGGAUCAAAGACUCGUGGAAGAUCGGUUACGAAGCGACCAAGAACAGUCUCGUCGCCGGCAAAAGCGAUCUUUACGUCCAGGAUCGUGAGACCAACGGCUUUCUUCAAGAGUUUCAGUGGACCCGUCGAGAUCUGCUCCGACGGGAAGCUUUACGUGAUGUUCGGAGACGACAAGCUCAGAGUCUCAGUAUUGGGCUCGUUGGUGGGCCUUUAGUGACAUCAACCGCAGCGCUUCAUGAAAUGCUUCCUCCUUUACCGAGAAGACUUGCGGUCAAGCUCGAUCUAAGAUUUUCUCCAGUUUGAUAUGAUUUUAAGAUAGUUCUCCUUAGUCCCCUCCUUCUAGCGCCAACUGUUUGAUCCAAUAAUGGUGUUUAUGCUGAAAUGUUUGUUGAAUCAAUACAAUAAAAGAAUCUAAAAAUAAAAGAUUAGAUUCUUGAGGUUUAGGAGAAAUCUUAAAGAAUCAAAUAGAAAAUGAACAUCAAAAGAGUUUAUUGAUUUAAGAUUGUAUUACAUGUAGAAUUACAAGUGUAAAUAAAUCUAACAAUCCAUAAACUCUUUGUAGAAUGUGUUCUAGGUCUAAAAUGGGAAAGAGAAUCCCCUUUCUCAUAAGGAGGAGCUCUUUAUUUAUAGAAAGAUAUGUCUAGGGUUUUCUAGCCAAAUGGGGCUAGUACAUUGUCUAAUGGGCCUUGAGGAAGGAUGUAAAUCCACCUCCAACAGGUGGUGAGAAUGUCGUGAUUGUGUGCCAUGUUAACAUUGUUCUCCUAGCUGACCUGACGGUCCGGAAAAUAAUGGCGUGGAUGCACGUGGUGGUGAGGUCUAGUUGUUUCGUCUGUUUCCAGUCACUCUAAAGGUAUGUAGGAGCAUGUUAAAGAAUUUAUAAUGCCUCCCCUCAGUGAGAGAAAUGAAGACAUUUGGGAAAUUAUUACAUCGAAAGAGUCCCCAAGUUGUUCUCAUUGGAAAAAGGCGUGGGGCUAGCAAAAGAGUUGGAAGAGAAAGCAAUGAGAUUUUGCACACUGUGGUAGCUAUUAUUUAUGCAUUUGUAGGCUGUCUCAUUAUAUAAUAAUGUCCCACAAAUGACACUAAAUAUGAUGAUAAUACAGUACUUUACUCCUAUCGCCUUUUACAAGGUUUAGAAGCAAAUAAGAAAAAAUAUUAAAAAAAGGAUUACAUAAAGAGUAGGUCCAACAUUAGUAAGUAGUAAGUACUAUAGUAAGUAGUCACAGAAUCAAGCUCUGAUGGCUUCCUUCACCAACACACAUAAACACAACCCCAAACAAAACAGAAAAAGAAAAACGAGGGAAGAGGGAGGAGAGCAUCCUCUCACUCUCACUCACUCAGUAUCCUCACCGAUUCUCUCUCCCAACAAAAAAGAAGUGAGGACAGAGAAAUGGGGGUGGGGAGCUUCAGUUUAGUUAGAGGACAGGGGAGAAGUUGAGGCGGGAGGUGUAAGUAGCUUUGGGAACCCAUUUUUUGGGGAUGACGUCAGCUGCGGAGAGCGUUUUGUUGUUUGACAAAGUGGUGAGCUUAACGGAGAGUGGUCCCUUUAGUGGUCCUCCGACGAUGCACCAGUUUGCUCCCCAUAUGUGCUUCAUUGCUAUCCACUCCUUCGACCCCGCCUGCAUUACAAAAAAAAACUAACAAUAAAGAAAGAAGAAAAAGAAGGAAUUAUAAAAAAAAAACAAAAAAAAAAAAGAGAAUGCCAAUUAAAGGAAUAUACAUACUUGACGAAUGUGCAUAGAGCCAAUGUCACCUUCUCCGUCUUCAUACUCAAUGAGAAGAGAUAACCAAUAAGCUGUUGAUCCUGCGUUCACAUGGAAUGCUAUGUUCUUCUCUCUGUAUUUGCAUGCCGUCCUGUUUUUUUCACCAACUAGUUUAGCUCAGUGUUAUUUAUAAAAUAAAAAAAAAGACAGACAACCAAGUGUAGUGUGCGUGUCAGAGCAUCCAGACUUGUGUGAAGUCAUGUAUAGUCAACGGUCAAACUAUGGGACCAUCGAAAACCAGAACGCCGUUAAAGUUAAACUUAUUUGUUUACUCCUUCCAAUGUAAUAAAAUAAAAUAAGAUAAUACAUACACACACUCAUUUGUUCGUUAGCAUUUAGCAGUCAUUGAAAAAACGAAGGAAAAGAGGUUACCGGCGAUAGAGGAGGGAGAUGAGGCCGCGGUUGCGGAUGAUGCCGGAAUGGCCGGGGAUAGCCAAAUGGCCAAAUGCGGCGCCACUAAGGUCAAAGUGAGUGUGCUUUGCUCGAGCAGAUGGUCCUGACGGUGACUGGUCUGUGACAAUUAUUGUGACUGCUCUCUUUGAGCAGAUGGUCUUGUCCAGACACCUGACCUUGUAGCAAGCACCGCAGCCUUCGCCGCUCUUGAACAGCAACGGACUCACUGCUCCAACGCGAGCCUUGAACGGCUUCACGUCCACCAGCGACCCAUACCCGCAUGCUCCUCCUGCAGUUUCAUUAUUAUAUUGUUUUUGGUUUCUCAAUAAAAGCCUAAACUUUUAAUUUGUUGGAGUCAAAAAAAUCAAGAGCAAGUAAAAGAAAGAAGAGGGUGUAGGCGGUUGUUACCGCUGCUGCCAUCGCCCUCAGGACUUCCGUACCAGGUGGCCGUGGCGGGGAGCCAAUGUGGGGCUGAUCUGUGGCGAUUAGAGUGAGAGGUGGAUGCGUCUCCUCUCGGCAGCAGCUGCAAGAACAAGAAGCAGAGUGUCGGUAGGAGCUGCAUUUCCACCGGCUAUACCACACUUCUAUUGGUGAGCAAGCAGAAUCUAAAUGGAGUGAGAGAGAGGGUGUGUGUAGUUUGGGCGUUAAAUAGAAAAUGGGGGUAAAGGAAAGAGGAGGAAGCCUUUUUGCAUCAAAUCAAAAUGCAUUGUGUUUGUGCCAGUUAUGACCCUGAGUCCUUCUCCUUAUUUACGAAAGGUAUGCCAUUCAUGGACCCACUGACAGUUAGGGCCUCGAUUCCACACGAUCCCGUAGGGUAAUGCAUGUUUAUGCAAUUAUUUAUAAAAAGAUUCGGCCGUUGAAGUCUUCUUUUGGGAGAAAGAUUCUUCUUGUGCUUCUGCUUAAGAAAAAGAAUCCGUUGUUCUCUUCUUGUUACUUAAGUUCUUUAUUCGAACAGGUAAUAAUAAUAUGGUCGAACUGGUUGAAUAUGUGCUGAUAUGUGCAGGGCCGGCCGAAUGGUUUCAUGGACCCUGGGACAAACAAAAAUUUUAAUUUCCAAACUAUUAUUUUUUAAAAAAAAAUCUGAUAGACAUAGUUUUUUUUUAAAAUACCAGAAUUAUUUUUAAAAAUAAAUUUAUGGAAAUAAAAAAAAAUUCAUAUAAGAAAAAUUUGGGUCCCUCUUCUUAUUUUUAAUAUAAAAAUAUAUGUAUUUUUUUUAAAAAACGAGUCCUUAUCUAUUAAGAAAUAGGGGGAGAAUGGAUUGGGUCCGGGCGAUCGCACCGUUCGCCUCCUUGUCUAAGCCUGCCCUGGAUAUGUGCCGCUCAAUAGUAUGUAUCAUAUUUCACUUGUUGGGACAACAUUGAAUUCACUAGCUAACGGAUUUGUCUUCACAUCAUUGAACUCAUUGCUCGCUAGUAUAUAAACUUAAUACUACAAGUUAUGUGUACUACUUACAACAACAAACAAACAUCACCUUCUUCAUGCAUCUCUGAAGAAGAAACAAAAAAUCUUUAUUAAAAGAUUGGUCAAGGUCACUGAAAGGAGCUAUAGAUCAAUAACAUCUUUCAAUAGACACGAUAAGAUUGGAGAAACAAAAUCUUGUUCGCCAAUCUUUUUCCCACAGACACAGCGACAGCGCAUCAACCAUUUCUACAAUAUAAAAAUAGUAUCAUUUUUCAUAACUGUUUCUGAGUUUCAUACUUUCUUUUAACCAAGUAACUAACAACUAAUCAUACCUCAAUAAGGCCAUUAAUCACUUUGAUUUCAUUUUCCGUCUACAUCUAUUGUUAAAAAAAAAAUGAUAUUGCAAUUGUAAUUCCUAUUUUUACGGUUUGUUGUAUUAGGCUGCACAUGACAAUAUGACAUAACUAGUGCCUACGCCACAGUCCACAGUCCUUAAGAGCACCAGCAUUAAUGAAAUCCCGGUUGGGGUUCAUAAUUUGAUUUUUUUAUUAUUUUUUUUUUCGUUUAAUUUUUUUGUUUAAAAAAAAAAAUUGACCAAUAGCGGGCCGCCACGUGGCGUGGAGCCCGCUGAACAGUAAUGAUCUGGGUUCAUCCGGAAGGAGCGUGGCGAGAUAGAGUCAUAACUGUAGCAGAUUAUAAUUUUUUUUCUCGCAUGUGAAAUCCUCUUAUGAUUCCCUGGUGCGCAUGGUCUUACUUUUGAUUAUACGGCUCUUCUUAUUCUCUUUUUUUUUUUUCUUUUGAAUUUACAAAGAAAACGAUUCUCUUUGGAUACAACUUCAGUAGGAACUAUAUUCUAUUGUCAAUUACAAUCCAACUUAUAAAGUAUGAUGAUGCCAUAAUAUGGUAGUUGAAACCUAGUCCAAAAAUUAAUUACUAGUAGAUAUGCUUAUUUUGUACGUACGGUGCUUAUGUAGGAAAAGUUUGUCUAGAGAAAUGCAGCAUAUUUUUUUUUUUUUUGGUUAACUAAAGGUAGAUUUUGUUUAUGAUAAUAUAUAAAAUUAAUUUCUUAAUAUAAAUCAUGAUUGUUGGAUGUAUGUAUGCCGUGUGUGCAUUAGCAAAAGACUGAUGAAAGAUAUUAUUGACAACUUCAAUAAUGGAAAAAUAUAAAAUGGAGAUACGUUAUGGGAAUGAUAUACUCUUUAAUCAAAGUGGAAAAGUCAUAUUGUAUUAUUGAGAAUGACAACAAGAUAAAGAUGAUUUUGUAUUUUAUGAGACUACAAAGUCACAUGAGAUGAUGAAGAGGGGUAUCAAUAAAAACAGUUCAUAUGCGUAUCUUACAGUUCACCAUCACAUUCUCAAUUAAUUCCUUCUUCUCAUUUUUACACUACUAGAAGACUUUAUUCACUUCCUCCCAUGUGCCCACAAGGCAAUAAGAUUACUCAUCGAAUACCAAUAUUGGUGUUGGAUUAUUUAAAGUGUUUUUUUCCAAAAAAAAAAGUGUGAACACCUAAAGAAGACUGGCUUCAUAAGAAUCUUUUUAACAGCGAUGAUCAUGAGACGCUAUGGUAGCUCAAACAAGGGUCACUGAUGUUCAUGAAGACUUGGAACAAGAUAAAUAAAAGUUAUAGGCAGGGCCAAGAAAUCCCGAGUAGUUCUGUUGUAAACCAGUUGGUACAGAACCAGUAUCGACAGGACAAGUCACAAAAUUCCUAGCGAUGUUCAUGAAGAGUGGACAUUGAUGCUUGUGGAAGGGCAUAGCAUGAGAUACAGAGGGUUGGAACCAAACUGAUCACACAUUGUAGUUUUUAAAAUGCAUAUGAGAGUGUGUGUAUAUGUGUAUGCAAUUUUUUUUACAAGAGUAAUGGUUUGCUGGGUGAGAUAGAUAGAUGCAACAAAAGUAAGUAAUAUAUUGAAAGAGGUGAGUCUUGGCUAUGUUGCUUGUCUUGGUCUACACCUGUUUUACCGGUUGGCUCUUUCAUUAAUCCUAACAGUCCCCGAAUCCGGUUUGGGUCCAUAAUAAGGUUCUCCAACAACGUAUGGAUGAGGCUGGCGAGCAUCCCGGAGGAGUGCAACUGUGCUCACAUCGUACUCAUCGUCACUGUCAUAAUGCCGGUGAGGCCCAAGAGCUUUGAGCAACAUGGCCAAUAGAACUGAUGCACCCUGCGAAACGAACAAAGAGGAGCGCUGUGAAACAUUGCAAACUUGAAAGGGAGAGUAAAAAGGUAAAGAAGCUAAAAAGAGACCUGGACAGAGACAAUGGAGAGACCAAUCCAUCUGCAAAUCUUAUAGUUGGACUCGACGAACUUGGAGAAACGGUAGAAGGCACCAGUUGGAUCCUCUGGAAAGUCCUGAAAGAAAGCUUCCAGAAGAAGAUUAAGUUAAAAAAGGGAAGAUUUAACAAAAAGAAGAAGAAAAAAAAAAAGAGAAGAGAGAAUAAUAAACCUGUUUCCAGUCAGGGUUUAGAAAGGUAUCGGCGAUGACAGCACCUUCAACCAUAAUAAGCAAGACGAUGAAUCCCAUAUACUGAAACCAACCAAAAAAACAAUUCCAUUAAUUCACAUCAAAAGAAGAAAGAAUGGCUUAAUAAGAUGAAAGGAAAAAGAAGUAGCUUACAAAAUAAAGACAGCAACCAUUAAUGGUUUCAGCAGCGAUGUGGCCAGCGCAAGUGACAAGACAGAGAAGAGCCCCGAGACAAAGAAAAGCAUAAAUGAACCUGGAGAGCGAGAUUGGCUGAUUUUAUCAUGACAAUUGACAACAGAAAGGAUAGUUCAUUUCCAGCAAGAUGAGUAACUCGUUUCAUCAAAGUUGAGACUUGAGAGACAAAUCCUAAAAGGAUGAUGAUAUUAUUUUUCAUAGCCUAACAGGUAUGAUGAGGUCCCAGACAUAACAUCAAACACCUAAAGCUAACAGAAUCUAUAUAUCUCAAAAAAAAAAAAAGAGAGUCAAAUAAAAUAGGACCACGAGUAAUCAUCAGAUACAUAAAGAAAGAAGGACAAGGAGAAUUAGGUGGUACCAAGGAAGAGGGUGAGAGAAAGGGAGAGAUCCAGUUUGUUGUUGCCAUUGCCUGAUGAGCCAAACAGCGUAGAGGAUCACGGCGACCCCAACCAUCCCAAGAAGGGAAUUCACCAGCUUCAGCAUCGACUGUAAGCAGCUUCUCACCAUCCUCCCCAUCUUUUUUUCAACCCCCCCCCCUGGAGACAGACGAAGAGACCUGAUUAAUUUAAUUUUUAAUUUUUAAUUUUUAAUUUUUCUCCGUCGGUGGGAGAAGAGAAAUCGAAAAGAAAGAACCAACCUCUCUUUCUAAAUCCCUAAUAAAAUCCAAUCAAGCACGAAACUUGUUUCUUUCUUCUUCUUUUUUUUCCUAACAAAAAUAUAAAAUAAAAUUAUAUUAUAUUUAUUGGAAAAAAUUAAAAUAAAUGGACAAUUAUUUGGAGACCACAGAAUUGAAUUGAAUUGAAUUGAAUUGAAUUGAUCCAGCAGGGUUGGUUGGUUACUUUGCUUGAAAUGAAAUGAAACGAAGGUUGACUGACUCUAAGGUCAAAGGCCUUGUCCUCCAUCCAUCCAUGAUUCUAUCCCUCACGCCGGUGGUGGCUAGUUCUUCCCUCCGACCAUAUUCAGUGUUUCACCCUCUCUCCUCCUCUACCACUUGUCGUCGGUUGCGAUCCAUCCCUUUCCCAUCUCUCAGAUGCUCUUGUCUCAGUAGCAAACCCACUCCCCAUGUAAUGUUCUAACUCUGUUUUUUUCUUUCUUUCUCCAUUUUAACUGAGGAGGGUUUUCUAAAAUUCAUGGAGAAAGAAUAGGGGUUCUCGGUUUUGGCAUCAGAGAUUCCGUGGGAAGACAAGAACGUAUGGACCACGUUCGCUCUUUACAUGUUUUGCCUCCAUAUUCCUCUCAGUUUUGGUGGUUUAUCCAUCCUUGCUCGCACCCUCCACACCCCUCUUCUCCAUCCUCAGACCCAAGUCACUCCCUCACUCUCUUCUUCUAUAUGGUAUAUAUCCUUAAGUCAUACUGAAAUUCAUGGUGUGGCUACAAUGUGCAGGUGCUAUCACUUGUGCUUCUCCAGUUGCUCGAACUUUCACUCACCCUCUUCCUUCUGAGGACCACCGCCAAGCCUCAAUUCAAAUCAUUCAACUUUCUUAAGGGUACUAACAACAAUGUCUCAACCCAAGGGAGAAACUGGGUGGUUGGUUCAGCUUUGGGUUUUGGAACUCUUGUUGCUUUUAUCUUCCUCACUUCACUUGUAGCUCAUCAACUCUUUCCUUCUCAGGUCUCUCUCUCCUGAAUCUUUGGUAUCAUUUUAGCAUAGCAUAAGACAAUGUGUGGUUUGAUCUCUCAGGAUGUGCACAACUCUGAAUUGGAUAAGAUUAUUGAAAGCGGGGAGGUGUCGAGAAUUGGGUGUUUUGUUCUCUACUGCGUCGUAGCUCCCAUACUUGAGGAGAUUGUGUACAGACGAUUUCUACUGAGCUCCUUAGCGUCCAGAAUGGAAUUGAGGAAGGCCCUUGUGAUCAGCUCAGGAGUAUUUGCAGCAUCUCACUUCUCUGGGGAGGAUUUUGUGCAGCUGUUUGGGAUAGGGUGCGUUCUCGGGGGAUGUUACAGCUGGUCAGGGAACUUGGCCUCGUCCGUGGUCGUCCACUCCUUGUACAAUGCCUUGACACUCCUCCUUGCGCUGCCUUCUUAGCCACACCACCCAAGAUGAGAAGAGGUGGGGGCCAUUUCCCUUGUCAGUUACGUCAUAUAGGAAUCUCUAUCUUUCUUUCUUUGGAAGACAGCGUAUAAACCGUGUGUGUGUAAAGAGACAAUCUUGAUCCCUUUUCAGUUUAAUAAAGUGUAUUGAUUAAUGGUAGUACAAGAAACAAAAGGUAAGAUGAGCUUAGCUUAACUGAGAAGAAAAAAAAGGCUUUACCAAAAGGAUGUGAUAGGUUGGUUUACACAGAAGAUGAUAUAUGUAUCUAAUGGACAUAAAAUUACGUGUACAAACAUUUUUUUUAAAGAAAAACAGAGUUUAAAGCAUUUGUUAAUCGGUGUUUAAGGCAAAAAGGAAGAAGCAAAGUGUGAAACAGAAACGAGAGAAAAGAAAGACAAUCAAAACGGGUGUGUCCGUUAGUGGGUCAUGUGGUGAUGACGAAUUCACCUAGCUGAGCUGGCUAUCAUAUUCAUCGUCCAUUCAACUAGCUUUCAAAACAAAUUUACUGGCUAAUGGCUAUACUUAUUAUAUAUUCUACUUUUUUUUUUCUUAUUUUUGUUAAACCUUUAACUACCUAUAUAUAUAUGUUUUACAAACAAUUUAAGAAAAUAAAGUCGUAAAAUUAGGGAAACAAAUUUAAGAGCAAAAAUACAGAAGAGAUUAGCUUGCCUCUUCGGUGUAAAUCUCCCUGAUUUAGCUAUUAAUAAAAGGAAAAACAUAUCUUUCUAAUUCUCAGAAUAAACUCAUCACAGCUGUCAUAUCCCUUGUCUAUAGUUAUAAAUACAGGGGAUGUGGGCACAAGACGGACUUUAAUACACAAAUAUUUACGGUGCUCCUCGAGAAAAGAGAGAUAGAAAAGAAGGAAGAAAGAAAGAAAGAUGGGAGCAUUCGAGGAUAAGGUGAAGCUGAGGGCGAUAGAGCUGAAACAUCUUCUGAAGAAAGGUAUCAAAGUCGUCAGCAAAUCUUGCAAGAAGGGAUGGUCCAAAGUCAAGAACCUUAAGCGCUAAUGAUUCCUCCUUCCUUCUCCUCCGUCUCUGUCUCUGUGUGUUUCUUUCUUUCCCCUCUAGAAAAAACCUAAGUUUUGUCUUCUUCUUUUGCUGUUGUGGGUGAUUAUAUAUUCAUCUAAGUCUUUUCCUUAAUGGUGUCUUGUAUUAAUUGAAAGAUUAAGCCUAAAUAAAAUUAAAUAUGAAACCAGAUUCAGCUAUUAAAAAUUUUAAAAGAUAAUUUUGAAAACAGUAUAGUAGAAGAAAACAAGAAAAUUGUAAAAACCUAAAGAAUAAGAUAUUUCCUUUUGAAAAUGGAUUUGAACUUUGAACCAAUCCCCAAGUAGAAAAACAAGGGGAAGGUUACACGUCGGGUGGAUAAUGCUGAGUUUUAUUGGGCCGACAUAUGGGCCUCUGCCCGAUUUUGUGUCCAGCGCUAAUCACCACUGUUGCAAUUUGUAAGCAUAUAACGAAGGAUUCUAGGGUUUCUGUGGAGAG